rnacentral:lncRNA from 1 species
UCGAGACUCCUCGUCAUGUCCCUGAUCUUAUCCGGGACUCCAAACUCCUUCGGUACAUCAAAACACAUAAACUCAUAAUAUAACCGUCAUCUAACUUUAAGCGUGCGGAUUCUACGGGUUCGAGAACUAUGUAGACAUGACCGAGACACGUCUCCGGUCAAUAACCAAUAGCGGAACCUGGAUGCUCAUAUUGGCUCCCACAUAUUCUACGAAGAUCUUUAUCGGUCAGACCGCAUAACAACAUACGUUGUUCCCUUUGUCAUCGGUAUGUUACUUGCCCGAGAUUCGAUCGUCGGUAUCUCAAUGNNNNNNNNNNCUAGUUCAAUCUCGUUACCGGCAAGUCUCUUUACUCGUUCCGUAAUACAUCAUCCCACAACUAACUCAUUAGUUGCAAUGCUUGCAAGGCUUAUAGUGAUGUGCAUUACCGAGUGGGCCCAGAGAUACCUCUCCGACAAUCGGAGUGACAAAUCCUAAUCUUGAAAUACGCCAACCCAACAAGUACCUUCGGAGACACCUGUAGAGCACCUUUAUAAUCACCCAGUUACGUUGUGACAUUUGAUAGCACACAAAGUGUUCCUCCUGUAAACGGGAGUUGCAUAAUCUCAUAGUCAUAGGAACAUGUAUAAGUCAUGAAGAAAGCAAUAGCAACAUACUAAACGAUCGAGUGCUAAGCUAACGGAAUGGGUCAAGUCAAUCACAUCAUUCUCCUAAUGAUGUGAUCCCGUUAAUCAAACGACAACUCAUGUCAAUGGCUAGGAAACAUAACCAUCUUUGAUCAACGAGCUAGUCAAGUAGAGGCAUACUAGUGACACUCUGUUUGUCUAUGUAUUCACACAUGUAUUAUGUUUCCGGUUAAUACAAUUCUAGCAUGAAUAAUAAACAUUUAUCAUGAUAUAAGGAAAUAAAUAAUAACUUUAUUAUUGCCUCUAGGGCAUAUUUCCUUCAGUCUCCCACUUGCACUAGAGUCAAUAAUCUAGUUCACAUCGCCAUGUGAUUUAACAUCAAUAAUUCACAUCACCAUGUGAUUAGCACCCAUAGUUCACAUUGUCAUGUGACCAACACUGUCGUGGAAUUGUCACGGCAGAUGUCCUUGGUGUCAGGACUUAGUCGCGAGGCCAACGCAUCUAUGUGGUAGCUUGAGAGGGGUUGAGUGGAAUCGAGAGAUGCAACACAAGACGAGGAUUUAGACAGCUUCGGGCCCCGGGAAACAUCAUCCGGUAACAACCCUACAUGUUGUUUGAGGCUAGGUCUCAUUAUGAUCACGGGAGAGUCGUCGGGAACCGGCUCUCGGUGUCUAGCCCUAGAGAUUGUUUCUUCUUGCCUGUCCCUCUUGGGGAGCCCUGCCCCUCCUUAUAUAAGUUAGAGGGGCGGGUUACAUGUGGAGUCCUAGUAGGACUAGGACUAGUCUAUCUUUUCUUACAAGUUGAAUACAAGUCCGGGUCUUGCUUCCUCGUAAAGGAAAUAUUCGUCAUCCCUUUCUUCUUAAGCCGGCCCACCAUCACAUGAACCGGCCUUCUGGGCCUUGGGCCUUGUCAUCCAUCUGACCCGCCGUUGGGGUUAUCAGGAAGUCACCAAAUACUCGCCGGGUCUCUAUGAACCGCCAAGUCCGGCCGGGUCAUACCGCGUGGUAUAUCCCCGACAUUAGCCCCCAGUUUAAUUUGGAUUUAUCCAUGUUAAACUGAUCUUGUAAAAUAAACACAAGAACAAACUUGAUAGGUUGUGUUCCGGGUUAAAUAUUUUCCUGAACCGGCACCUGAUCAUCUUUAAGUCCUUGUCAUUUCCUUGUUGAUAUGUAUAUGUCCAUGAUCUCAUAGUAAAUCUUCUUUAGCAGAUAUGUUUCAACUUUGUCAAUACAAAAAAUCCAGAUACUUCUUUUGAAAAGUCCGGGUCAAUGGGCCAGCUUCAGAGUCAAUUUGCUGACAUUGGUCUCUUGUAGAGAAAUGUUGUGAAGAAUAAUCCACUUGAGUCGGCUUUCAAAGCGCCGGCUUAAGAAAAUAUUGGUCUUGAAAUACUCAUCUGAUAUUCAGCCGGUUUAAAGAUGUAGAACUUGCCGGUUUAAUAUUACCAAAGUUGCCGGUUUGUAAAUAUUGAUGGCACCGAGUCAUAAUUGUUGCCGACGCCGGGUCAUAAUUUUUGAUGACGCCGGGCUAUGAUUGUUGCAGACACCAGGUCAUAAUGAUUGGUGACGACGGGUCAAUCUGAUUUGCUCAAAAACUGAGAAUUCGAAAGUAUUUCUCCUUAUAUCCGUGUUACCUGUAGCCCCCAAGUGACGGGUUGUCAUGCUUGCAUCAACCUGGGACUUGUAAUUGUCUUAUGCUCACAAAACUUCAACCGGUGUAGCCUCCAAGGGCCGGGUCAUUAUGCAGUAAUGAGCAGGGACUUUGUAGAUGUAGACUUGAGCAGCAACAUGUAGCCCCCAAGGGCCGGCUCAGUAAGAUAAUAUUGAGCUAGGACUUUAUAUAUAUUUCCUUGAAAAGAAUACCAUAUGUUGUAAUCCUCUCCAUGGGGCCCGAACUCACGUCCAUAAGGUUAAGAGCUUUGUACUCUUCCAACUGAGUAGUGGACCUUUCAAUAUAAUGGAUUUAAACUUGUGUACCUUGAAUUGUUGACAGGAGCAAUUGGUAGCCCCCAAGGGCCGGCUCAUUACAAUGUGAUGAGUCGGGUCUUCAAUAAGGCCAGUAAAAAUGACUUUGCAUUAGCCCCCAAGUGCCAUGGUGCAUGCUCGCAGUGACAUGGGACUUGCAUAUUUGAUGUAAUCUCAACUUUGAAUAAUGUAGCCCCCAAGUGCCGGGUCGUAAGCCUGCAGUGACUCGGGACUAUUCCUUCCAUUGUAGAAUAAAUCAUAUCCAUUGAUAAAAUAAUAGCCAUUGCGCCAAAGCGACUUUGAAUACCUCAUCUGUUGAUAAGUAAACCCGGAGUUUAAAUACCCGGCGGCUCUUGGCCGAUGGCAAUUUAAUACGCCUCCAUUGUAAGCCGGAACUUUUAUAACCCGGCGACUUAUAGCCUUUGAGAAAAUCAAGAAUUGAUAACCCUUUUGAGACACCAAUUUUGAUCUUUGAUGAUGGGCUUGAACUUAAUCAUUUAUGUAAGUCAUAGCUCUGUAAAUCCUGCACAGAGAUUAAACAACAUAUGCCCUGGCGACUUAACGUCAAAAGCCAGGACGGGUAACCACCCAAAUGUAGUCUUAUCCUGCACACAAGUAGAUCACAAAAUCCCUUGACGGUUUACCGCAGGGCGGGUCAUAAUAUCUCACAUAUAACCAUUGUGAUAUUGAAUUUGUACUGCCGGUUUAAAUGACCUGUGCAGUAAGGGUGAUAACCCAAUCUUUAGAAAUCAAGACUUCCAAAUGUUUAUGAUUGUCAUAUGAUGGCGACUUAUUAUCCAAAGUCAAACCGGGUUAAAUAGCAACCACUCAUAUACACUUUAGAUAUGAUCAAAAGAGCUUCAAAUAAAAUCCGAAAACUGUUUGCAAAAAGAGACUUCAAAAAUUUUGAGGCUUCUGAUUCGAAUACGAUCAGAAAACUGUCCCAAAGGGGUCAAGCUAAGAUUCGAAUACGAUCAUAUAGCCCCCAGUGGCUUUGGCGUUGCCGAUCAAGAGGGUACCGACAGCUAUGUUCUCUUUGGUUCGAAUACGACCUAUGUUUGAACAGGAAGCCCCCAAAUGACCUUGAGAGUUGUUUAAUGACGCUGAUUCGAAUACGAUCCACGUCGGUUCCCAAAAGGGGUUGAGCUAUGAUUCAAAUACGAUCAAGAAGCCCCCUAGUGAGCUCGGCAGUGUGCCGAUCAAGAGGGUACCGACAACUAUGUUCUCUUUGGUUCGAAUAUGACCUAUGUUUGAACAGGAAGCCCCCAAGUGAUCAUAAGAAUAUUUAACGACUCUGAUUCGAAUACGAUCAGGGUCACACCAAAAGGGUUAAGCUAAAUUCGAAUACGAUCAGCUCCCAAUGGUUAUUAAAGCAGGAUACCUAUGUUUGGGUGGUGCCUUGUAACAGACUCCUUUUUGGUCCCUUUAAUUUUUCCCGAGAACUCGAACUUUGCGAGAGAUAGAUUCUUUUUGAACCGGAAAAAACCAGAUAUUGAGAAUUUGAAAGCUUUGUGAUAGACAAAUUUACCUUGAACCGGAUUUUGAGAGCUUCAAAAUCUUGUGGCAGAUAAAUUUCCCUUGAAGCAGAUUUUAAACCGGAUAUUAAGAGCUUCAGUGCUUUGUGGGAGACGUCAAGUCUCUUGAGCCGGAUCUAAACCGGAAUCCUUCUUUUUAAGCCGGAAAAAUUCUCACGGCCUUUAAACUUUUCAUCAAUAUAGCGGUAGCCUCCGGGACCGAAUUAUUUUUCCCUCCAAUGACCCGAAGUCCUUGAAUGCAUUGAAACCGACCAAUGCUGCCGAGUUAUAUCAUUGUAGCCCCCGAGUCUCAAGAUGACUCAAGGAGUUGGCUUUGAGAUUCUCCAUAUUGACCAUAACAUAAGGUGUAUAUCAUUGGUGUUGAUAACACGAUGUAAAUGUUGGGGAACAUAGCAGAAAUUCAAAAUUUUCUACGCAUCACCAAGAUCAAUCUAUGGGGUAAUCUAGCAACGAGGGGAAGGGGAGUGAAUCUACAUACCCUUGUAGAUCGCGAUGCGGAAGCGUUGCAAGAACGCGGAUGAGGGAGUCGUACUCGUAGCGAUUCAGAUCGCGGUUGAUUCCGAUCUAAGCACCGAAAGAACGGUGCCUCCGCGUUCAACACACGUGCAGCCCGGUGACGUCUCCCACGCCUUGAUCCAGCAAGGAGAGAGGGAGAGGUUGGGGAAGACUCCAUCCAGCAGCAACACGACGGCAUGGUGGUGGUGGAGGAGCGUGGCAAUCCCGCAGGGCUUCGCCAAGCACCGCGGGAGAGGAGGAGGAAGAAGAGGGGUAGGGCAGCACCAAAAAGGAGACGUUCUCAUGUCUGUAUGGCAGCCCAAACCUCAAGUAUAUAUAGGGGGGAAGGGGGCUGCGCCCCCUUUAGGGUUUCCACCCCCAAGAGGAGGCGGCCAGCCCUAGAUCCCAUCAAGGGGGGCGGCCAAGGGGAGGAGAGGGGGAGGCGCCCCACUAGAUGGGCCCUAAGGCCCAUCUGGACCUAGGGUUUGCCCCCUCCCACUCUCCCAUGCGCCUGGGCCUUGGUGGGGGGGCGCACCAGCCCACCUGGGGCUGGUCCCCUCCCACACUUGGCCCACGCAGCCUUCUGGGGCUGGUGGCCCCACUUGGUGGACCCCCGGGACCCUCCCGGUGGUCCCGGUACAUUACCGAUUUCACCCAAAACUUUUCCGGUGACCAAAACAGGACUUCCCAUAUAUAAAUCUUUACCUCCGGACCAUUCCGGAACUCCUCGUGACGUCCGGGAUCUCAUCCGGGACUCCGAACAACAUUCGGUAACCACGUACAUACUUUCCCUAUAACCCUAGCGUCAUCGAACCUUAAGCGUGUAGACCCUACGGGUUCGGGAACCAUGCAGACAUGACCGAGACGUUCUCCGGUCAAUAACCAACAGCGGGAUCUGGAUACCCAUGUUGGCUCCCACAUGUUCCACGAUGAUCUCAUCGGAUGAACCACGAUGUCGGGGAUUCAAUCAAUCCCGUAUGCAAUUCCCUUGUCCAUCGGUAUGUUACUUGCCCGAGAUUCGAUCGUCGGUAUCCCUAUACCUUGUUCAAUCUCGUUACCGGCAAGUCUCUUUACUCGUUCCGUAACUCACAUCAUCCCGUGAUCAACUCCUUGGUCACACUGUGCACAUUAUGAUGAUGUCCUACCGAGUGGGCCCAGAGAUACUUCUCCGUUUACACGGAGUGACAAAUCCCAGUCUCGAUUCGUGCCAACCCAACAGACACUUUCGGAGAUACCCGUAGUGCACCUUUAUAGCCACCCAGUUACGUUGUGACGUUUGGCACACCCAAAGCAUUCCUACGGUAUCCGGGAGUUGCACAAUCUCAUGGUCUAAGGAAGUGAUACUUGACAUUAGAAAAGCUCUGAGCAAACGAACUACACGAUCUUGUGCUAGGCUUAGGAUUGGGUCUUGUCCAUCACAUCAUUCUCCUAAUGACGUGAUCCCGUUAUCAACGACAUCCAAUGUCCAUGGUCAGGAAACCGUAACCAUCUAUUGAUCAACGAGCUAGUCAACUAGAGGCUUACUAGGGACAUGGUGUUGUCUAUGUAUCCACACAUGUAUCUGAGUUUCCUAUCAAUACAAUUCUAGCAUGGAUAAUAAACGAUUAUCAUGAACAAGGAAAUAUAAUAAUAACCUAUUUAUUAUUGCCUCUAGGGCAUAUUUCCAACAGUCUCCCACUUGCACUAGAGUCAAUAAUCUAGUCCACAUCACCAUGUGAUUAACAUUCAUAGGUCACAUCACCAUGUGACCAACACCCAAGAGUUUACUAGAGUCAACAAUCUAGUUCACAUCACCAUGUGAUUAACACUCAAUGAGUUCUGGUUUGAUCAUGUUAUGCUUGUGAGAGAGGUUAUUAGUCAACGGGUCUGAACCUUUCAGAUCCGUGUGUGCUUUACGAAUAUCUAUGUCAUCUUGUGGAUGCUACCACGCGCUAUUUGGAGCCAUUUCAAAUAAUUGCUCUACUAUACGAAUCCGGUUUACUACUCAGAGUCAUCCGGAUUAGUGUCAAAGUUCGCAUCGACGUAACCCUUUACGACGAACUCCUUUCCACCUCCAUAAUCGAGAAAAUUCCUUAAUCCACUAGGUACUAAGGAUAAGUUCGACCGCUGUCAUGAGAUCCUUUCCCGGAUCACCAUUGUACCCUCUUGACCAACUCAUGGCAAGGCACACUACAUGUGCGGUACAUAGCAUAGCAUACUAUAGAGCCUACGUCUAAAGCAUAGGGGACGACCUUCGUCCUUUCUCUAUCUUCUGCUGUGGUCAGGUCUUGAGUCUCACUCAAUACUCACACCUUGUAACACAGCCAAGAACUCCUUCUUUGCUGAUCUAUUUUGAACUCUUUCAAAAUCAUGUCAAGGUGUGCUGUCUUUUGAAAGUAUCAUCAGGAGUCUUGAUCUAUCUCUAUGGAUCUUGAUGCCCAAUAUGUAAGUAGCUUUAUCCAGGUCUUCCUUUGAAAAACUCCUUUCAAACAACCCUUUAUGCUUUCCAGAAAUUUUACAUCAUUUCGGAUCAACAAUAUGUCAUUCACAUAUACUUAUCAGAAAUGUUGUAGCGCUCCCACUCACUUUAUUGUAAAUACAAGUUUCUAACAAACUUUGUAUAAACCCAAAAACUUUGAUCACCCCAUCAAAGCGUAUAUUCUGACUCCGAGAUGCUUGCUCUAAUCCAUGGAAGGAUCGCUGGAGCUAGCAUACCUUUUAGCAUCCUUUAGGAUCGACAAAACCUUUCUGAUUGUAUCACAUACAACCUUUCCUUACGAAAACUGGUAAGGAAACUUGUUUUGACAUCCAUCUACCAGAUUUCAUAAAUGUAGCUAAUGCUAACAUGAUUCCGACGGACCUAAGCAUCGCUACGGAUGAGAAAAACUCAUCGUAGUCAACUCCUUGAACUUGUGAAAAUACUCUUUGCCACAAGUCGAGCUUCAUAGACGGUAACAUUACCGUCCACGUCCGUCUUCUUCUCAAAGAUCCAUUUAUCUCGGAUUUCAUGGUUUCUAACCAUUUGUCAGAAUAUGGGCCCACCAUCGCUUCUCCAUAGCUCGUAGGUUCAGUAUUGUCCAACAACAUGAUAUCUCAGACAGGAUCACGUACCACUCUGAAGUAGUGCGCAUCCUCGUCGUCCUACGAGGUUUGGUAGUGACUUGAUCCGAAGUUUCAUGAUCACUAUCAUAAGCUUCCACUUCAAUUGGUGUAGGUGCCACAGGAACAACUUCAUGUGCCCUGCUACACACUAGUUGAAGCGACGGUUCAAUAACCUUAUCAAGUCUCCACCAUCCUCCCACUCAAUUCUUUCGAGAGAAACUUUUCCUCAAGAAAGGACUCAUUUCUAGAAGCAAUUACUUUUGCUUCCAGAUCUGAAAUAGGAGGUAUACCCAACUGUUUUUGGGUAUUCUAUGAAGAUGCAUUUAUCCGCUUUGGGUUUGAGCUUAUCAGCCUGAAACCUUUUCACAUAAGCAUCGCAGCCCCAAAUUUUAAGAAACGACAACUUAGGUUUCUAUAAACGGUGUCGUCUCAACGGAAUUGCGUGGUGCCCCUUUUAAAGUGAAUGUGGUUGUCUCUAAUGCCUAACCCAUAAACGAUAGUGGUAAUUUGAUAAGAAACAUCAUGGUGUGCACCAUAUCCAAUAGGGUGCAGUUGUGAUGUUCGGACACACCAUCACACUAUGGUGUUCCAGGCGGUAUUAAUUGUGAAACACUUUCCACAAUGUCUCAAUUGUGUGCCAAACUCGUAUCUCAGAUACUCAUCUCUAUGAUCAUAUCACAGACAUUUUAUCCUCUUGUUGCGACGAUCUUCAACUUCACUCUGAAAUUACUUGAACCUUUCAAUAAUUCAGACUAGUGUUUCAUCAAGUAAAUGUACUCAGCAUCUACUCAAAUCAUCUGUGAAGUAAGAACAUAACGAUAUCCACUGCAUGCCUCAGCACUCAUUGGACUGCAUACAUCAAAAUGUAUUAAUUCCAAUAAGUUGCUCUCUUGUUCCAUCUUACUGAAAACAAGGCCUUUCAGUCAUCUUGCCCAUGUGAUAUGAUUUGCAUGUCUCAAGUGAUUCAAAAUCAAGUGAGUCCAAACGAUCCAUCUGCAUGGAGUUUCUUCAUGCAUAUAUACCAAUAGACAUGGUUCGCAUGUCUCAUUCAUUUCAAAAACGAGUGAGUCCAAAGAUCCAUCUACAUGGAGCUUCUUCAUGCGUUCUAUACCAAUAUGACUCAAGUGGCAGUGCCAUAAGUAUGUGGUACUAUCAUUACUAUCUUAUAUCUUUUUGGCAUGAACAUGUGUAUCACUACGAUCGAGAUUCAUUUUAGGUGCAAGACCAUUGAAGGUAUUAUUCAAAUAAACAGAGUAACCAUUAUUCUCCUUAAAUGAAUAACCGUUUUGCGAUAAACAUAAUCCAAUCAUGUUCAACGCAAACACCAAAUCUCGAUAGUAGAGGGAGCAUGCGAUGCUUGAUCACAUCAACCUUGGAAACACUUCCAACGCACAUCGUCAUCUCACCUUUAGCUAGUCUCCGUUUAUUCUGCAGCUUUUGUUUCGAGUUACUAACACUUAGCAACCGAACUGGUAUCUAAUACCCUGGUGCUGCUAGGAGUACUAUUAAAGUACACAUUCAUAUAACGUAUAUCCAAUAUACUUCUGUCGACCUUGCCUGCCUUCUCAUCUACCAAGUAUCUAGGGUAGUACUGCUUCAGUGACCGUUCCUCUCGUUACAGAAGCACUUAGUCUCGGGUUUGGGUUCAACCUUGGGAUUCUUCACUAGAGCAGCAAACGACUUGUUGUUUCAUGAAGUAUCCCUUUUGCCCUUGCCCUUCUUAAACUAGUGGUUUUACUAACCAUCAACAAUUGAUGCUCCUUCUUGAUUUCUACUCUCGCGGUGUCAAACAUCGCGAAUAGCUCAAGGAUCAUCAUAACUAUCCUUGAUAUGUUAUAGUUCAUCACGAAGCUCUACUAGCUUGGUGGCAAUGACUAUGGGGAACUAUCACUAUCUCAUCUGGGAGAUUAACUCCCACUCGAUUCAAGCGAUUGUGGCACUCAGACAAUCUGAGCACAUGCUCAACGAUUGAGCUUUUCUCCCUUAGUUUGCAGGCUUAAGAAACUUGUCAGAGGUCUCAUACCUCUUGACGUGGGCACUAGUCUGAAAUCCCAAUUCCAGUCUUCGGAACAUCUCACAUGUUCUGCGACGUUUCAAGAACGUCUUUGGUGCCACAAUUCUAAACCGCACUGAACUAUCACGUAGUUAUCAAAACGUGUAUGUCAGAUGUUUCGUAACAUCUACAGACGACGCUGAGGUUCAGCACACCGAGCGGUGCAUUAAGGACAUAAGCCUUCUGUGUAGUAAUGAGGACAAUCCUCAGUUUACGGACCCAGUCCGCAUAAUUGCUACUACCAACUUUCAACUAAAUUUUCUCUAGGAACAUAUCUAAACCAGUAGAACUUAAAGCGCAAGACAUAAUUCGCAAAGACCUUUUGACUAUGUUCAUGAUAAUGAAGUUCGUCUGAUUAAUGAACUCCCACUCAGAUAGACAUCCCUCUAGUCAUCUAAGUGAUACAUGAUCCGAGUCAAACUAGGCCGUGUCCGAUCAUCACGUGAGACGGACUAGUCAUCAUCGGUGAACAUCUCCAUGUUGAUCGUAUCUGCUAUACGACUCAUGUUCGACUUUUCGGUCUCUUGUGUUCCGAGGCCAUGUCUGUACAUGCUAGGCUCGUCAAGUCAACCUAAGUGUAUUGCGUGUGUGCCGAGGCCAUGUCUGUACAUGCUAGGCUCGUCAACACCCGUUGUAUUCGAACGUAAGAAUCUAUCACACCCGAUCAUCACGUGGUGCUUCGAAACGACGAACCUUCGCAACGGUGCACAGUUAGGGUGAACACUUUCUUGAAAUUAUUAUAAGGGAUCAUCCUACUUGCUACCGUCGUUCUAAGCAAAUAAGAUGCAAAACAUGAUAAACAUCAUAUGCAAUCAAAUAGUGACAUGAUAUGGCCAAUAUCAUCAUGCUCCUUUGAUCUCCAUCUUCGGGGCACCAUGAUCAUCUUUGUCACCGGCAUGACACCAUGAUCUCCAUCAUCAUGAUCUCCAUCAUUGUGUCUUCAUGAAGUCGUCACGCCAACGAUUACUUCUACUUCUAUGGCUAACGCGCUUAGCUAUAAAGUAAAGUAAUUUACAUGGCGUUAUUCAAUGACACGCAGGUCAUACAAAAAAUAAAGACAACUCCUAUGGCUCCUGCCGGUUGUCAUACUCAUCGACAUGCAAGUCGUGAUCCCUAUUACAAGAAUAUGAUCAAUCUCAUACAUCACAUAUAUCAUUCAUCAUAUCUUCUGGCCAUAUCACAUCACAUAGCACUUGCUGCAAAAACAAGUUAGACGUCCUCUAAUUGUUGUUGCAAGUUUUUACGUGGUUUGUAUAGGUUUCUAGCAAGAACGUUUCUUACCUACGUAAGACCACAACGUGAUAUGCCAAUUUCUAUUUACCCUUCAUAAGGACCCUUUUCAUCGAAUCCGUUCCGACUAAAGUGGGAGAGACAGACACCCGCUAGCCACCUUAUGCAACUAGUGCAUGUCAGUCGGUGGAACCUGUCUCACGUAAGCGUACGUGUAAGGUCGGUCCGGGCCGCUUCAUCCCACAAUGCCGCCGAAACAAGAUAAGACUAGUAGCGGCAAGAAGAGUUGACAACAUCGACGCCCACAACUACUUUGUGUUCUACUCGUGCAUAGAAACUACGCAUAGACCUAGCUCAUGAUGCCACUGUUGGGGAACGUAGCAGAAAUUCAAAAUUUUCUACGCAUCACCAAGAUCAAUCUAUGGAGUAAUCUAGCAACGAGGGGAAGGGGAGUGAAUCUACAUACCCUUGUAGAUCGCGAUGCGGAAGCGUUGCAAGAACGCGGAUGAGGGAGUCGUACUCGUAGUGAUUCAGAUCGCGGUUGAUUCCGAUCUAAGCACCGAAAGAACGGUGCCUCCGCGUUCAACACACGUGCAGCCCGGUGACGUCUCCCACGCCUUGAUCCAGCAAGGAGAGAGGGAGAGGUUGGGGAAGACUCCAUCCAGCAGCAACACGACGGCAUGGUGGUGGUGGAGGAGCGUGGCAAUUCCGCAGGGCUUCGCCAAGCACCGCGGGAGAGGAGGAGGAAGAAGAGGGGUAGGGCAGCACCAAAAAGGAGACGUUCUCAUGUCUGUAUGGCAGCCCAAACCUCAAGUAUAUAUAGGGGGGAAGGGGGCUGCGCCCCCUUUAGGGUUUCCACCCCCAAGAGGAGGCGGCCAGCCCUAGAUCCCAUCAAGGGGGGCGGCCAAGGGGAGGAGAGGGGGAGGCGCCCCACUAGAUGGGCCCUAAGGCCCAUCUGGACCUAGGGUUUGCCCCCUCCCACUCUCCCAUGCGCCUGGGCCUUGGUGGGGGGGCGCACCAGCCCACCUGGGGCUGGUCCCCUCCCACACUUGGCCCACGCAGCCUUCUGGGGCUGGUGGCCCCACUUGGUGGACCCCCGGGACCCUCCCGGUGGUCCCGGUACAUUACCGAUUUCACCCGAAACUUUUCCGGUGACCAAAACAGGACUUCCCAUAUAUAAAUCUUUACCUCCGGACCAUUCCGGAACUCCUCGUGACGUCCGGGAUCUCAUCCGGGACUCCGAACAACAUUCGGUAACCACGUACAUACUUUCCCUAUAACCCUAGCGUCAUUGAACCUUAAGCGUGUAGACCCUACGGGUUCAGGAACCAUGCAGACAUGACCGAGACGUUCUCCGGUCAAUAACCAACAGCGGGAUCUGGAUACCCAUGUUGGCUCCCACAUGUUCCACGAUGAUCUCAUCGGAUGAACCACGAUGUCGGGGAUUCAAUCAAUCCCGUAUUCAAUUCCCUUUGUCUAACGGUAUGUUACUUGCCCGAGAUUCGAUCGUCGGUAUCCCUAUACCUUGUUCAAUCUCGUUACCGGCAAGUCUCUUUACUCGUUCCGUAACUCACAUCAUCCCGUGAUCAACUCCUUGGUCACAUUGUGCACAUAAUGAUGAUGUCCUACCGAGUGGGCCCAGAGAUACCUCUCCGUUUACACGGAGUGACAAAUCCCAGUCUCGAUUCGUGCCAACCCAACAGACACUUUCGGAGAUACCCGUAGUGCACCUUUAUAGCCACCCAGUUACGUUGUGACGUUUGGCACACCCAAAGCAUUCCUACGGUAUCCGGGAGUUGCACAAUCUCAUGGUCUAAGGAAGUGAUACUUGACAUUAGAAAAUCUCUGAGCAAACGAACUACACGAUCUUGUGCUAGGCUUAGGAUUGGGUCUUGUCCAUCACAUCAUUCUCCUAAUGAUGUGAUCCCGUUAUCAACGACAUCCAAUGUCCAUGGUCAGGAAACCGUAACCAUCUAUUGAUCAAAGAGCUAGUCAACUAGAGGCUUACUAGGGACAUGGUGUUGUCUAUGUAUCCACACAUGUAUCUGAGUUUCCUAUCAAUACAAUUCUAGCAUGGAUAAUAAACGAUUAUCAUGAACAAGGAAAUAUAAUAAUAACCUAUUUAUUAUUGCCUCUAGGGCAUAUUUCCAACAGUCUCCCACUUGCACUAGAGUCAAUAAUCUAGUUCACAUCACCAUGUGAUUAACACUGACAGGUCACAUCACCAUGUGACCAACACCCAAGAGUUUACUAGAGUCAACAAUCUAGUUCACAUCUCUAUGUGAUUAACACUCAAUGAGUUCUGGUUUGAUCAUGUUAUGCUUGUGAGAGAGGUUAUUAGUCAACGGGUCUGAACCUUUCAGAUUCGUGUGUGCUUUACGAAUAUCUAUGUCAUCUUUGUGGAUGCUACCACGCGCUAUUUGGAGCCAUUUCAAAUAAUUGCUCUACUAUACGAAUCCGGUUUACUACUCAGAGUCAUCCGGAUUAGUGUCAAAGUUCGCAUCGACGUAACCCUUUACGACGAACUCCUUUCCACCUCCAUAAUCGAGAAAAUUCCUUAAUCCACUAGGUACUAAGGAUAAGUUCGACCACUGUCAUGAGAUCCUUUCCCGGAUCACCAUUGUACCCUCUUGACCAACUCAUGGCAAGGCACACUACCAUGGUGAUUCCUCCGUUUCGCUGCCGUGUGUUUGAAACGGCGGAGGCGGCGACUUGAACAGCUUGAAACGACGCGGGUCGAUCCGGGGCAGGCGGCGGAGGCGGCUCACAGCAGGCGAGGUUCCGAGUCAUAGUUUUCCUUCCCUCAUUCAAAUUUUUUUUAAGGAAUAAUGUACAGCAGCGUGCGUCGGUUCAAUGUACAACAGCGGCGACAGUAGGGCCCAGAUCGGCUUACAGUGAAGGUGAGACCGCUCACGACGAGGGCAGUUUGACGGCUCAGUUAUGGCAGAGACCGGCAGCACGGGCCCGGCAGCGGAUUCGGCCACGGCGAUUUGUAAGCAGAAAUCCAAUCCGGUUCCGGAUCGUUGUCCUUUUUACCAAUCUAAUCUUCUUUCCUUGAUCUGAUCGCUAGAAUAGUACUUUUUUGUCUUUAUGCACAGAACGGAUUGAGCCUCUAAAUCCCUCAUGAUUAAGAAGUACUACUAUGUCUUUCUCCGUUCCGGCGCUCCUGCUAGGCUCAGAAAACAAUACUUUUUAGCUGACAUUGAUUAACUUCCAUGCACUAUCUGCUUUUCUUCCGAUAUUGGUCAGCUCCCAUGCACUGUUUGCUUUCAACAUUGACAUGACCAGGCUAGUUUCUUCCAAAGCAACAGUCAUUCUCUCAAUAAAUUCCUUAACAUAGGCAUUAUGAGCAUAUUUUUCAUAGCAAUAUUUAAGUACGUCAAAAUUUUCAGAUUUGUAGAGAAUAAUAUCAUACUUUUCAAUCAAAGAAGCAAAUGCAUAAGUGAUACAUCUCCAACGUAUCUAUAAUUUUUGAUUGUUCCAUGCUAUAUUAUAUUCUGUUUUGGACAUUAUUGGGCUUUAUUAUACACUUUUAUAUUAUUUUUGGGACUAACCUAUUAACCGGAGGCCCAGCCCAGAAUUGCUAUUUUUUGCUUAUUUCAGAGUUUCGCAAAAAAAGAAUAUCAAAUGGAGUCCAAACGGAAUGAAACCUUCGGGAACGUGCUUUUUGGAACGAACGUGAUCCAGAGGACUUGGACCUUACGUCAAGAAAGCUACCAGGAAGGCACUGUUGGGGAACGUAGUAAUUUCAAAAAUUCUCCUACGCACACGCAAGAUCAUGAUGAUGCAUAGCAACGAGAGGGGAGAGUGUUGUCCACGUACCCUCGUAGACCGAAAGCGGAAGCGUUAGCACAACGCGGUUGAUGUAGUCGUACAUCUUCACGAUCCGACCGAUCAAGUACCGAACGCACGGCACCUCCGAGUUCUGCACACGUUCAACUCGAUGAUGUCCCUCGAACUCCGAUCCAGCCGAGCUUUGAGGGAGAGUUCCGUCAGCACGACGGCGUGGUGACGAUGAUGAUGUUCCACCGACGCAGGGCUUCGCCUAAGCACCGCUACGAUAUAAUCGAGGUGGAUUAUGAUGGAGGGGGCAGCGCACACGGCUAAGAGAUCAAGAGAUCAAUUGUUGUGUCUAUGGGGUGCCCCCCUGCCCCCGUAUAUAAAGGAGCAAGGGGGGAGGCGGCCGGCCAAGGAGGAGGGCGCGCCAAGGGGGAGUCCUACUCCCACCGAGAGUAGGACUCCUCCUUUCCUUGUUGGAGUAGGAGAGAAGGAAAGAGGGGGAGAGGGAGAAGGAAAAGGGGGCUGCACCCCUUGUCCAAUUCGGACCAGAGGGGGGGGGUGCGCGCCUCCUUCCUUUUGGCCACUCUCCUCUAUUCCCGUAUGGCCCAAUAAGGCCCAAUACUUCUCCCCGGCGAAUUCCCGUAACUCUCCGGUACUCCGAUAAAUACCCGAAUCACUCGGAACCUUUCCGAAGUCCAAAUAUAGUCGUCCAAUAUAUCGAUCUUUACGUCUCGGCCAUUUCGAGACUCCUCGUCAUGUCCCUGAUCUUAUCCGGGACUCCAAACUCCUUCGGUACAUCAAAACACAUAAACUCAUAAUAUAACCGUCAUCUAACUUUAAGCGUGCGGAUUCUACGGGUUCGAGAACUAUGUAGACAUGACCGAGACACGUCUCCGGUCAAUAACCAAUAGCGGAACCUGGAUGCUCAUAUUGGCUCCCACAUAUUCUACGAAGAUCUUUAUCGGUCAGACCGCAUAACAACAUACGUUGUUCCCUUUGUCAUCGGUAUGUUACUUGCCCGAGAUUCGAUCGUCGGUAUCUCAAUGUCUAGUUCAAUCUCGUUACCGGCAAGUCUCUUUACUCGUUCCGUAAUACAUCAUCCCACAACUAACUCAUUAGUUGCAAUGCUUGCAAGGCUUAUAGUGAUGUGCAUUACCGAGUGGGCCCAGAGAUACCUCUCCGACAAUCGGAGUGACAAAUCCUAAUCUUGAAAUACGCCAACCCAACAAGUACCUUCGGAGACACCUGUAGAGCACCUUUAUAAUCACCCAGUUACGUUGUGACAUUUGAUAGCACACAAAGUGUUCCUCCUGUAAACGGGAGUUGCAUAAUCUCAUAGUCAUAGGAACAUGUAUAAGUCAUGAAGAAAGCAAUAGCAACAUACUAAACGAUCGAGUGCUAAGCUAACGGAAUGGGUCAAGUCAAUCACAUCAUUCUCCUAAUGAUGUGAUCCCGUUAAUCAAACGACAACUCAUGUCAAUGGCUAGGAAACAUAACCAUCUUUGAUCAACGAGCUAGUCAAGUAGAGGCAUACUAGUGACACUCUGUUUGUCUAUGUAUUCACACAUGUAUUAUGUUUCCGGUUAAUACAAUUCUAGCAUGAAUAAUAAACAUUUAUCAUGAUAUAAGGAAAUAAAUAAUAACUUUAUUAUUGCCUCUAGGGCAUAUUUCCUUCAGUCUCCCACUUGCACUAGAGUCAAUAAUCUAGUUCACAUCGCCAUGUGAUUUAACAUCAAUAAUUCACAUCACCAUGUGAUUAGCACCCAUAGUUCACAUUGUCAUGUGACCAACACUGUCGUGGAAUUGUCACGGCAGAUGUCCUUGGUGUCAGGACUUAGUCGCGAGGCCAACGCAUCUAUGUGGUAGCUUGAGAGGGGUUGAGUGGAAUCGAGAGAUGCAACACAAGACGAGGAUUUAGACAGCUUCGGGCCCCGGGAAACAUCAUCCGGUAACAACCCUACAUGUUGUUUGAGGCUAGGUCUCAUUAUGAUCACGGGAGAGUCGUCGGGAACCGGCUCUCGGUGUCUAGCCCUAGAGAUUGUUUCUUCUUGCCUGUCCCUCUUGGGGAGCCCUGCCCCUCCUUAUAUAAGUUAGAGGGGCGGGUUACAUGUGGAGUCCUAGUAGGACUAGGACUAGUCUAUCUUUUCUUACAAGUUGAAUACAAGUCCGGGUCUUGCUUCCUCGUAAAGGAAAUAUUCGUCAUCCCUUUCUUCUUAAGCCGGCCCACCAUCACAUGAACCGGCCUUCUGGGCCUUGGGCCUUGUCAUCCAUCUGACCCGCCGUUGGGGUUAUCAGGAAGUCACCAAAUACUCGCCGGGUCUCUGUGAACCGCCAAGUCCGGCUGGGUCAUACCGCGUGGUAUAUCCCCGACAAACACCCAAAGGGUUUACUAGAGUCAAUAAUCUAGUUCACAUCGCUAUGUGAUUAACACCCAAAGAGUACUAAGGUGUGAUCAUGUUUUGCUUGUGAGAUAAUUUUAGUCAACGGGUCUGUUACAUUCAGAUCCGUAAGUAUUUUGCAAAUUUCUAUGUCUACAAUGCUCUGCACAGAGCUACUCUAGCUAAUUGCUCCCACUUUCAAUAUGUAUCUAGAUCGAGACUUAGAUUCAUCCAGAUUUGUGUCAAAACUUGCAUCGACGUAACUCUUUACGAUGAACCUUUUUUCACCUCCAUAACCGAGAAAUAUUUCCUUAUUCCACUAAGGAUAAUUUAACGUUGUCCAGUGAUCUACUCCUAGAUCACUAUUGUACCCUCUUGCUAAAAUCAUGGUAGGUACACAAUAGGUCUGGUACACAGCAUAGCAUACUUUAUAGAACCUAUGACUGAGGCAUAGGAAAUGACUUUCAUUCUCUUUUCUAUUUUCUGUUGUGGUCGGGUUUUGAGUCUUUACUCAACUUUAUACUUUGCAAUACAGGCAAGAACUCUUUCUUUGACUGUUCCAUUUUGAACUACUUCAAAAUCUUGUCAAGGUAUGUACUCAUUGAAAAAACUUAUCAAGCGUCUUGAUUUAUCUCUAUAAAUCUUGAUGCUCAAUAUGUAAGCAGCUUCACCGAGGUCUUUCUUUGAAAAACUCCUUUCAAAUACUCCUUUAUGCUUUGCAGAAUAAUUCUACAUUAUUUCCGAUCAACAAUAUGUCAUUCACAUAUACUUAUCAAAAAUGUUGUAGUGCUCCCACUCACUUUCUUGUAAAUACAGGCUUCACCGCAAGUCUGUAUAAAACUAUAUGCUUUGAUCAACUUAUCAAAGCGUAUAUUCCAACUCCGAGAUGCUUGCACCAGUCCAUAGAUGGAUCGCUGGAGCUUGUAUAUUUUGUUAGCACCUUUAGGAUUGACAAAACCUUUUGGUUGCAUCAUAUACAACUCUUCUUUAAGAAAUCCAUUAAGGAAUGUAGUUUCGACAUCCAUUUGCCAGAUUUCAUAAAAUGUGGCAAUUUGCUAACAUGAUUCGGACAGACUUAAGCAUCGCUACGAGUGAGAAAAUCUCAUCGUAGUCAACACCUUGAACUUUGUCAAAAUCCUUUUUUCCGACAAGUCUAGCUUUGUAGAUAGUAACACUACUCUCAGCGUCCGUCUUCCUCUUGAAGAUCCAUUUAUUUUCUAUGGCUUGCCGAUCACCGGGCAAGUCAACCAAAGUCCACACUUUGUUCUCAUACAUGGAUCCCAUCUCAGAUUUCAUGGCCUCAAGCCAUUUUGCGGAAUCUGGGCUCAUCAUUGCUUCCUCAUAGUUCGUAGGUUCGUCAUGGUAAAGUAACAUGACCUCCAGAACAGGAUUACCGUACCACUCUGGUGCGGAUUUCAUUAUGGUUGACCUACGAGGUUCGGUAGUAACUUGAUCUGAAGUUACAUGAUCAUCAUCAUUAGCUUCCUCACUAAUUGGUGUAGGAAUCACAGGAACAAAUUUCUGUGAUGAACUACUUUCCAAUAAGGGAGCAGGUACAGUUACCUCAUCAAGUUCUAUUUUCCUCCCACUCACUUCUUUCGAGAGAAACUCCUUCUCUAGAAAGGAUCCAUUCUUAGCAACGAAUGUCUUGCCCUUCGGAUCUGUGAUAGAAAGUGUACCCAACUGUCUCCUUUGGGUAUCCUAUGAAGACACAUUUCUCCGAUUUGGGUUUGAGCUUAUCAGGAUGAAACUUUUUCACAUAAGCAUCGUAGCCCCAACUUUAAGAAACGACAACUUUGGUUUCUUGCCAAACCACAGUUCAUAAUGUGUCGUCACAACGGACUUAGACGGUGCCCUUUUUAACGUGGAUGCAGCUGUCUUUAAUGCAUAACCCCAAAAUGAUAGUGGUAAAUCGGGAAGAGACAUCAUAGAUUGCACCAUAUCUAAUAAAGUACGGUUACGAUGUUCAGACACACCAUUACACUGUGGUGUUCCAGGUGACGUGAGCAGUGAAACUAUUUCACAUUGUUUUAACUGAAGACCAAACUCGUAACUCAAAUACUCUUCUCCACGAUCAGAUCGUAGAAACUUUAUUUUCUUGUUACGAUGAUUUUCCACUUCACUCUGAAAUUAUAUGAACUUUUCAAAUGUUUCAGACUUCUGUUUCAUUAAGUAGAUAUACCCAUAUCUGCUCAAAUCAUCUGUGAAGGUCAGAAAAUAAUGAUACCCGCUACGAGCCUCAAUAUUCAUCGGACCACAUACAUCAGUAUGUAUGAUUUCCAACAAAUCUGUUGCUUGCUCCAUUGUUCCGGAGAACGGCGUUUUAGUCAUCUUGCCCAAGAGGCAUGGUUCUCAAGCAUCAAGUGAUUCCAAAAUCCCAUCAGCAUGGAGUUUCUUCAUGCGCUUUACACCAAUAUGACCUAAAUGGUUGUGCCACAAAUAAGUUGCACUAUCAUUAUUAACUUUGCAUCUUUUGGCUUCAAUAUUUAUGAAUAUGUGUAUCACUACGAUCGAGAUCCAACAAACCAUUUUCAUUGGGUGUAUGACCAUAGAAGGUUUUAUUCAUGUAAAUAGAACAACAAUUAUUCUCUAACUUAAAUGAAUAACCGUAUUGCAAUAAACAUGAUCAAAUCAUAUUCAUGCUCAACGCAAACACCAAAUAACACUUAUUUAGGUUCAACACUAAUCCCGAAAGUAUAGGGAGUGUGCGAUGAUGAUCAUAUCAAUCUUGGAACCACUUCCAAUACACAUCGUCACUUCAUCCUUAACUAGUUUCUGUUCAUUAUGCAACUCCCGUUUCGAGUUACUACUCUUUAGCAACUGAACCAGUAUCAAAUAUCGAGGGAUUGCUACGAACACUAGUAAAAUACACAUCAAUAAUCUGUAUAUCAAAUAUACCUUUGUUCACUUUGCCAUCCUUCUUAUCCGCCAAAUACUUGGGGCAGUUCCGCUUCCAGUGACCAGUCCCUUUGCAGUAGAAGCACUUAAUCUCAGGCUUAGGUACAGACUUGGGCUUCUUCACUUGAGUAGCAACUUGCUUGCCGUUCUUCUUGAAGUUCCCCUUCUAUCCCUCUGCCCUUUUCUUGAAACUAGUGGUCUUGUUAACCAUCUACACUUGAUGCUCUUUCUUGAUUUCUACCUUUGUCGAUUUCAGCAUCGCGAAGAGCUCGGGAAUUACUUUCGUCAUCCUUACAUACUAUAGUUCAUCACGAAGUUCUACUAACUUGGUGAUGGUGACUAGAGAAUUCUGUCAAUCACUAUUUUAUCUGGAAGAUUAACUCCCACUUGAUUCAAGCGAUUGUAGUACCCAGACAAUCUGAGCACAUGCUCACUGCUUGAGCUAUUCUCCUCCAUCUUUUAGCUAUAGAACUUGUUGGAGACUUCAUAUCUCUCAACUCGGGUAUUUGCUUGAAAUAUUAACUUCAACUCCUGGAACAUCUCAUAUGGUCCAUGACGUUCAAAACGUCUUUGAAGUCCCGAUUCUAAGUCGUUAAGCAUGGUGCACUAAAGUAUCAAGUAGUCAUCAUAUUGAGCUAGCCAAACGUUCAUAACAUCUGCAUGUGCCUGCAAUAGGUCUGUCACCUAGCGGUGCAUCAAGGACAUAAUUCUUCUCUGCAGCAAUGAGGAUAAUCCUCAGAUCACGGAUCCAAUCCGCAUCUUUGCUACUAACAUCUUUCAACAUAAUUUUUCUCUAGGAACAUAUCAAAAAUAAACACAGGGAAGCAACAACGCGAGCUAUUGAUCUACAACAUAAUUUGCAAAAAUACUAUUAGGACUAAGUUCAUGAUAAAUUUAAGUUCAAUUAAUCAUAUUACUUAAGAACUCCCACUUAGAUAGACAUCCCUCUAAUCCUCUAAGUGAUCACGUGAUCCAUAUCAACUAAACCAUGUCCGAUCAUCACGUGAGAUGGAGUAGUUUCAACGGUGAACAUCACUAUGUUGAUCAUAUCUACUAUAUGAUUCACGCUCGACCUUUCGGUCUCCGUGUUCCGAGGCCAUAUAUGUUAUAUGCUAGGCUCGUCAAGCUUAACCUGAGUAUUCCGCGUGUGCAACUGUUUUGCACCCGUUGUAUUUGAACGUAGAGCCUAUCACACCCGAUCAUCACGUGGUGUCUAAGCACGAAGAACUUUCGCAACGGUGCAUACUCAGGGAGAACACUUAUACUUUGAUAAUUUAGUGAGGGAUCAUCUUAUAAUGCUACCGUCAAUCAAAGCAAGAUAAGAUGCAUAAAAGAUAAACAUCACAUGCAAUCAAUAUAAGUGAUAUGAUAUGGCCAUCAUCAUCUUGUGCUUGUGAUCUCCAUCUCCGAAGCACCGUCAUGAUCACCAUCGUCACCGGCGCGGCACCUUGAUCUCCAUCGUAGUAUCGUUGUCGUCUCGCCAACUAUUGCUUCUACGACUAUCGCUACCGCUUAGUGAUAAAGUAAAGCAAUUACAUGGCGAUUGCAUUGCAUACAAUAAAGCGACAACCAUAUGGCUCCUGCCAGUUGCCGAUAACUCGGUUAAAAAACAUGAUCAUCUCAUACAAUAAAAUUUAGCAUCAUGUCUUGACCAUAUCACAUCACAACAUGCCCUGCAAAAACAAGUUAGACGUCCUCUACUUUAUUGUUGCAAGUUUUACGUGGCUGCUACUGGGCUUAGCAAGAACCGUUCUUAUCUACGCAUCAAAACCACAACGAUAAUUUGUCAAGUUUGUGCUGUUUUAACCUUCGCAAGGACCGGGCGUAGCCACACUCGGUUCAACUAAAGUUGGAGAAACUGACACCCGCCAGCCACCUGUGUGCAAAGCACGUCGGUAGAACCAGUCUCGCGUAAGCGUACGCGUAAUGUCGGUCCGGGCCGCUUCAUCCAACAAUACCGCCGAACCAAAGUAUGACAUGCUGGUAAGCAGUAUGACUUAUAUCGCCCACAACUCACUUGUUUUCUACUCGUGCAUAUAACAUCAACACAUAAAACCAGGCUCGGAUGCCACUGUUGGGGGACGUAGUAAUUUCAAAAAAAAUCCUACGCACACGCAAGAUCAUGAUGAUGCAUAGCAACGAGAGGGGAGAGUGUUGUCCACGUACCCUCGUAGACCAAAAGCGGAAGCGUUAGCACAACGCGGUUGAUGUAGUCGUACGUCUUCACGAUCCGACCGAUCAAGUACCGAACGCACGACACCUCCGAGUUCUGCACACGUUCAACUCGAUGAUGUCCCUCGAACUCCAAUCCAGCCGAGCUUUGAGGGAGAGUUCCGUCAGCACGACGGCGUGGUGACGAUGAUGAUGUUCUACCGAUGCAGGGCUUCGCCUAAGCACCGCUACGAUAUAAUCGAGGUGGAUUAUGGUGGAGGGGGGCACCGCACACGGCUAAGAGAUCAAGAGAUCAAUUGUUGUGUCUAUGGGGUGCCCCCCUGCCCCCGUAUAUAAAGGAGCAAGGGGGGAGGCGGCCGGCCAAGGAGGAGGGCGCACCAAGGGGGGAGUCCUACUCCCACCGAGAGUAGGACUCCUCCUUUCCUUGUUGGAGUAGGAGAGAAGGAAAGAGGGGGAGAGGGAGAAGGAAAAGGGGGCUGCACCCCUUGUCCAAUUCGGACCAGAGGGGGGGUGCGCGCCUCCUUCCUUUUGGCCACUCUCCUCUAUUCCCGUAUGGCCCAAUAAGGCCCAAUACUUCUCCCCGGCGAAUUCCCGUAACUCUCCGGUACUCCGAUAAAUACCCGAAUCACUCGGAACAUUUCGAGACUCCUCGUCAUGUCCCUGAUCUCAUCCGGGACUCCGAACUCCUUCGGUACAUCAAAACACAUAAACUCAUAAUAUAACCGUCAUCUAACUUCAAGCGUGCGGACCCUACGGGUUCGAGAACUAUGUAGACAUGACCGAGACACGUCUCCGGUCAAUAACCAAUAGCGGAACCUGGAUGCUCAUAUUGGCUCCCACAUAUUCUACGAAGAUCUUUAUCGGUCAGACCGCAUAACAACAUACGUUGUUCCCUUUGUCAUCGGUAUGUUACUUGCCCGAGAUUCAAUCGUCGGUAUCUCAAUGCCUAGUUCAAUCUCGUUACCGGCAAGUCUCUUUACUCGUUCUGUAAUACAUCAUCCCACAACUAACUCAUUAGUUGCAAUGCUUGCAAGGCUUAAGUGAUGUGCAUUACCGAGUGGGCCCAGAGAUACCUCUCCGACAAUCGGAGUGACAAAUCCUAAUCUCGAAAUACGCCAACCCAACAAGUACCUUCGGAGACACCUGUAGAGCACCUUUAUAAUCACCCAGUUACGUUGUGACGUUUGGUAGCACACAAAGUGUUCCUCCGGUAAACAGGAGUUGCAUAAUCUCAUAGUCAUAGGAACAUGUAUAAGUCAUGAAGAAAGCAAUAGCAACAUACUAAACGAUCGAGUGCUAAGCUAACGGAAUGGGUCAAGUCAAUCACAUCAUUCUCCUAAUGAUGUGAUCCCGUUAAUCAAAUGACAACUCAUGUCAAUGGCAAGGAAACAUAACCAUCUUUGAUCAACGAGCUAGUCAAUUAGAGGCAUACUAGUGACACUCUGUUUGUCUAUGUAUUCACACAUGUAUUAUGUUUCCGGUUAAUACAAUUCUAGCAUGAAUAAUAAACAUUUAUCAUGAUAUAAGGAAAUAAAUAAUAACUUUAUNNNNNNNNNNNNNNNNNNNNNNNNNNNNNNNNNNNNNNNNNNNNNNNNNNNNNNNNNNNNNNNNNNNNNNNNNNNNNNNNNNNNNNNNNNNNNNNNNNNNNNNNNNNNNNNNNNNNNNNNNNNNNNNNNNNNNNNNNNNNNNNNNNNNNNNNNNNNNNNNNNNNNNNNNNNNNNNNNNNNNNNNNNNNNNNNNNNNNNNNNNNNNNNNNNNNNNNNNNNNNNNNNNNNNNNNNNNGUGCGAGGGACUCGUGCGUGGCCUCCUACUGGAUUGAUACCUUGGUUCUCAAAAACUGAGGGAAAUACUUACGCUGCUUUACUGCAUCACCCUUUCCUCUUCAAGGGAAAACCAACGCAGUGCUCAAGAGGUAGCAAGAAGGAUUUCUGGCGCCGUUGCUGGGGAGUCUGCGCAAAAGUCAACAUACCAAGUACCCAUCACAAACCCUUAUCUCCCGCAUUACAUUAUUUGCCAUUUGCCUCUCGUUUUCCUCUCCCCCACUUGACCCUUGCCGUUUUAUUCACCCUCUCUUUUCCGUUCGCCUCUUUUUCGCGUGCUUCUUGUUUGCUCGUGUGUUGGAUUGCUUGCUUGUCGUUAUGGCUAGUCCCCUAUCUUCUCCGUUGUCUCCCAAAAAUGAAGUUCUUAAUUUUAAGCAAAAGGAAGGAGAAAAUCUAAAAGACGCUUGGUAUAGAAUUUGCAAUGCUCAAAAUAGAUCUACCAGGAAGCAAUCUACUUCUGUUCUUCUCCGCAAUUUUUAUGUAGGCGCUACUCCUUGGUACAUAUAUAUCCUUGAUACCAUUACCGGAGGGAAUUUCUUGGGUAGCCAUACUUUUGAUUCUUAUAAUGCUAUGAUAUAUUUGUUUGGCUCACCCCCUCUUUUGGUUAAUGGAACUAUGUUUUUGGAGCAUGUAAUGCAAAGACUUGAAAUUAUUGAAAUAAAGUUGCUACCGUAGAGUUAAUUGAAAAUUUGGAUAAAAAUAUCCACAACCAAAUUACCCAAUAUGGAUCUAAAGUAGGAGUCACUUUGAAAAAUAUUAAGGAGAAGGAACCCAUACUUAAUGAAAGAAUAAAUCAGGAUUCCACUAGAAUUGAUAAACUUGAGGGUAUCAUUACCAACUUGGGAACCGCUUUUUUCUUCCGUAAAGAAUACUCCAAGUCCUCCAACUAAAAUUGCCAAGCUUAUGUAUGUUCCCAAAAAUAAGGGUGAAUCCUCUAGCAAGGAAACUGCGGAUCUCAAAUCUAUAAGUAUUCAUCCCAAUCUUUUUGCUAUCAUUAAGGAACCAUUUGCUACAAAUGAAUUUUUCGAUUUUGUGCCUAGAAGUUUGAUAAUUAAUAAAAAGAAAGAAACUCCUAAGGGUGAUAGAUGUCUCAUUAAAGAAUUUCCAACUAAAGAUGGCAAUACCUAGAUCUAUCCUUGUUAUUAUGCCUAGUUAGGGGCGUUAAACGAUACCGCUUGUUGGGAGGCAACCCAAUUUUAUUUUUUUAGUUUUUUGCUUUUUGCUUCUGUUUAGGAAUAAAUAUUUGAUCUAGCCUAUGGUUAGAUGUGUUUUUAUGUUUUAAUUAGUGUUUGUGCCAAGUUUAACCUAUAGGAUCUUCUUGGAUGAUAGUUAUUUGAUCUUGCUGAAAAUUCCAGAAACUUUAUGUUCACGAAAAUAAUUGUUAAAAAUCACCAGAACGUGAUAAAAUAUUGAUUCCAAUUGCUGCUGAUCAAUAAACAAUUUUUCUAGGUCUUCCUAUUUUGGCUGAAUUUGUGGAGUUCCAUAAGUUUGCGUUAGUUACAGAUUACUAGAGACUGUUCUGUUUUUGACAGAUUCUGUUUUUCGUGUGUUGUUUGCUUAUUUUGGUAAAUCUAUGGCUAGUAAAAUAGUUUAUAAACCAUAGAGAAGUUGGAAUACAGUAGGUUUAACACCCAUAUAAAUAAAGAAUGAAUUCAUUACAGUACCUUGAAGUGGUGUUUUGUUUUCUUUCGCUAACGGAGCUCACGAGAUUUUCUGUUAAGUUUUGUGUUGUGAAGUUUUCAAGUUUUGGGUAAAAGAUUUGAUGGAUUAUGGAACAAGGAGUGGAAAGAGCCUAAGCUUGGGUAUGCCCAUGGAACCCCAAGAUAAUCUAAGGACACCUAAAAGCCAAAGCUUGGGGAUGCCCCGGAAGGCAUCCCCUCUUUUCGUUUACUUCCAUCGGUAACUUUACUUGGAGCUAUAUUUUUAUUCACCACAUGAUAUGUGUUUUGCUUGGAGCGUCUUGUAUUAUCUGAGUAUUUAUCUGUUAGUUUGCCACAAUCAUCCUUGUUGUACACACCUUUUGAGAGGGACACACAUGAUUCGGAAAUUAUUAGAAUACUCUAUGUGCUUCACUUAUAUCUUUUGAGUUAUAUAGUUUUUGCUCUAGUGCUUCACUUAUAUCUUUUAGAGCACGAUGGUGGAUUUGUUUUAUACAAACUAUUGUUCUCUCAUGCUUCACUUAGAUUAUUUUGAGAGUCCUACAAAACAGCGUGGUAAUUUGCUUUAAUUGUGAUAGGCAUUCAAGAUUAGUAAAAAAAAUCUUAUGAGUGUGUUGAAUACUAUGAGAAGUUUGAUACUAGAUAAUUGUUUUGAGAUAUGAAGAUGGUGAUAUUACAGUCAUGCUAGUUGAGUAGUCUUGAAUUUGAGAAAUACUUGUGUUAAAGUUUGUGAUUCCCGUAGCAUGCACGUAUGGUGAACCGUUAUGUGAUGAAGUCGGAGCAUGAUUUAUUUAUUAUUGUCUUCCUUAUGAGUGGCGGUCGGGGACGAGCGAUGGUCUUUUCCUACCAAUCUAUCCCCCUAGGAGCAUGCGCGUAAUACUUUGCUUUGAUAACUUGUAGAUUUUUGCAAUAAGUAUAUGAGUUCUUUAUGACUAAUGUUGAGUCCAUGAAUUAUACGCACUUUCUUCCUUCCACCAUUGCUAGCCUCUCUAAUACCGCGCACUUUUCGCCGGUAUCAUACACCCACCAUAUAGCUUCCUCAAAACAGCCACCAUACCUACCUAUCAUGGCAUUUCCAUAGCCAUUCCGAGAUAUAUUGCCAUGCAAUUUACCACCGUUCCGUUUAUUAUGACAUGCUCCAUCAUUGUCAUAUUGCUUUGCAUGAUCAUGUAGUUGACAUUGUAUUUGUGGCAAAGCCACCGUUUAUAAUUCUUUCAUACAUGUCACUCUUGAAUCAUUGCAUAUCCCGGUACACCACCGGAGGCAUUCACAUAGAGUCAUAUUUUGUUCUAAGUAUUGAGUUGUAAUUGUUGAGUUGUAAGUAAAUAAAAGUGUGAUGAUCAUCAUUUUUAGAGCAUUGUCCCAACUGAGGAAAGGAUGAUGGAGACUAUGAUUCCCCCACAAGUCGGGAUGAGACUCCGGACUAAAAAAAAGAGGCCAUAAAAAAAUAGAAAAGGCCCAAAUAACAAAAUAUAUAUAAAAAAAUAAUGAGAUAAAAAGAGAGAAGGGACAAUGUUACUAUCCUUUUACCACACUUGUGCUUCAAAGUAGCACCAUGAUCUUCAUGAUAGAGAGUCUCCUAUGAUAUCACUUUCAUAUACUAGUGGGAGUUUUUCAUUAUAGAACUUGGCUUGUAUAUUUCAAUGAUGGGCUUCCUCAAAAUGCCCUAGGUCUUCGUGAGCAAGCGAGUUCGAUGCACACCCACUUAGUUCCUUUUGUUGAGCUUUCAUAUACUUAUAGCUCGAGUGCAUCCGUUGCAUGGCAACCCCUACUCACUCACAUUGAUAUCUAUUAAUGGACAUCUCCAUAGCCCGUUGAUACGCCUAGUUGAUGUGAGACUAUCUUCUCCUUUUUGUCUUCUCCACAACCACCAUUCUAUUCCACAUAUAGUGCUAUGUCCAUGGCUCACGCUCAUGUAUUGCGUGAAGAUUGAAAAAGUUUGAGAACACCAAAAGUAUGAAACAAUUGCUUGGCUUGUCAUCGGGGUUGUGCAUGAUUUAAAUACUUUGUGUGGUGAAGAUAGAGCAUAGCCAGACUAUAUGAUUUUGUAGGGAUAACUUUCUUUGGCCAUGUUAUUUUGAGAAGACAUAAUUGCUUAGUUAGUAUGCUUGAAGUAUUACUAUUUUUAUGUCAAUAUUAAACUUUUGUCUUGAAUCUUUCGGAUCUGAAUAUUCAUACCACAAUUAAAAGAAUUACAUUGAAAUUAUGCCAAGUAUCAUUCCACAUCAAAAAUUCUGUUUUUAUCAUUUACCUACUCGAGGACGAGCAGGAAUUAAGCUUGCGGAUGCUUGAUACGUCUCCAACGUAUCUAUAAAUUUUUAUUGUUCCAUGCUAUAUUAUAUUCUGUUUUGGACAUUAUUGGGCUUUAUUAUACACUUUUAUAUAAUUUUUGGGACUAACCUAUUAACCGGAGGCCCAACCCAGAAUUGUUGUUUUUGCCUAUUUCAGAGUUUCGCAGAAAAAGAAUAUCAAACGGAGUCCAAACGGAAUGAAACCUUUGGAAACAUGAUUUUUGGAAUGAACGUGAUCCAGAGGACUUGGACCCUACGUCAAGAAAGCUACCAGGAAGGCACGAGGUAGGGGCGCGCCUACCCCCCCCCCCCCNNNNNNNNNNNNNNNNNNNNNNNNNNNNNNNNNNNNNNNNNNNNNNNNNNNNNNNNNNNNNNNNNNNNNNNNNNNNNNNNNNNNNNNNNNNNNNNNNNNNNNNNNNNNNNNNNNNNNNNNNNNNNNNNNNNNNNNNNNNNNNNNNNNNNNNNNNNNNNNNNNNNNNNNNNNNNNNNNNNNNNNNNNNNNNNNNNNNNNNNNNNNNNNNNNNNNNNNNNNNNNNNNNNCCCCCCAGGCGCGCCCUCCACCCUCAUGGGGCCCACGUUGCUCCACCGACGUACUUCUUCCUCCUAUAUAUACCUACGUACCCCCAAACUACCAGAUACGGAGCUAAAAACCUAAUUCCACCGCCGCAACCUUCUGUACCCAUGAGAUCCCAUCUUGGGGCCUUUUCCGGAGCUCCGCCGGAGGGGGCAUCGAUCACGGAGGGCUUCUACAUCAACACCAUAGCCCCUCCGAUGAUGUGUGAGUAGUUUACCUUAGACCUUCGGGUCCAUAGUUAUUAGCUAGAUGGCUUCUUCUCUCUCUUUGGAUCUCAAUACAAAGUUCUCCACCAUUCUUGUGGAGAUCUAUUCGAUGUAAUCUUAUUUUGCGGUGUGUUUGUUGAGACCGAUGAAUUGUGGGUUUAUGAUCAAGUUUAUCUAUGAACAAUAUUUGUGUUGGGGAACGUAGUAAUUUGAAAAAAAAAUCCAAUGCACACACAGGAUCAUGGUGAUGCAUAGCAAUGAGAGGGGAGAGUGUUGUCCACGUACCCUUGUAGACCGAAAGCGGAAGCGUUAGCACAACGCGGUUGAUGUAGUUGUACGUCUUCACGAUCCGACCGAUCAAGUACCGAACGCACGACACCUCCGAGUUCAGCACACGUUCAGCCCGAUGACGUCCUCGAACUCCGGUCCAGCCGAGUGUUGAGGGAGAGUUUCUUCAGCACGACGGCAUGGUGACGAUGAUGAUGUUCUACCGACGCAGGGCUUCGCCUAAGCACCACUACAGUGUUAUCGAGGUGGACUAUGGUGGAGGGGGGCACCGCACACGACUAAAAGAUCAAACGAUCAAUUGUUUUCUCUAGGGUGCCCCCUGCCCCCGUAUAUAAAGGAGCAAGGGGGGGAGGUGCGGCCGACCAGGAGGGGCGCGCCAGGUGGAGUCCUACUCCCACCGGGAGUAGGACUCCCUCCCUAUUCCUAGUUGGAUUAGGAGUGGAGGGGAAAGAGGAGGGAGAGAGGAAGGAAAGGGGGGGGCGCCGCCCCCCUCUCCUUGUCCUAUUCGGACUAGGGGGGAGGGACGCGCGGCCCUGCCCUGGCCGCCUCUCCUCUUCUCCACAAAGGCCCACUAUGGCCCAUUAAGCCCCCGGGGGGUUCCGGUAACCCCUGGGUACUCCGGUAAAAUCCCGAUUUCACCCGGAACACUUCCGAUAUCCAAAUAUAGGUUCCCAAUAUAUCAAUCUUCAUGUCUCGACCAUUUCGAGACUCCUCGUCAUGUCCGUGAUCACAUCCGGGACUCCGAACAACCUUCGGUACAUCAAAACAUAUAAACUCAUAAUAUAACUAUCACCGAAACGUUAAGCGUGCGGACCCUACGGGUUCGAGAACAAUGUAGACAUGACCGAGACACGUCUCUGGUCAAUAACCAAUAGCGGAACCUGGAUGCUCAUAUUGGCUCCCACAUAUUCUACGAAGAUCUUUAUCGGUCAGACCGCAUAACAACAUACGUUGUUCCCUUUGUCAUCGGUAUGUUACUUGCCCGAGAUUCGAUCGUCGGUAUCUCAAUACCUAGUUCAAUCUCGUUACCGGCAAGUCUCUUUACUCGUUCCGUAAUACAUCAUCCCGCAAAUAACUCAUUAGUUACAAUGCUUGCAAGGCUUAUAGUGAUGUGCAUUAUCGAGUGGGCCCAGAGAUACCUCUCCGACAAUCGGAGUGACAAAUCCUAAUCUCGAAAUACGCCAACCCAACAAGUACCUUCGGAGACACCUGUAGAGCACCUUUAUAAUCACCCAGUUACGUUGUGACGUUUGGUAGCACACAAAGUGUUCCUCCGGUAAACGGGAGUUGCAUAAUCUCAUAGUCAUAGGAACAUGUAUAAGUCAUGAAGAAAGGAAUAACAACAUACUAAACGAUCGAGUGCUAGGCUGACGGAAUGGGUCAAGUCAAUCACAUCAUUCUCCUAAUGAUUUGAUCCCAUUAAUCAAAUGACAACUCUUUGUCUAUGGCUAGGAAACAUAACCAUCUUUGAUCAACGAGCUAGUCAAGUAGAGGCAUACUGGUGACACUCUGUUUGUCUAUGUAUUCACACAUGUAUCAUGUUUCCGGUUAAUACAAUUCUAGCAUGAAUAAUAAACAUUUAUCAUGAAAUAAGGAAAUAAAUAAUAACUUUAUUAUUGCCUCUAGGGCAUAUUUCCUUCAAUUUGAAUCUUCUCUGAAUUCUUUUAUGUAUGAUUGGUUAUCUUUGCAAGUCUCUUCGAAUUAUCAGUUUGGUUUGGCCUACUAGAUUGAUCUUUCUUGCAAUAGGAGAAGUGCUUAGCUUUGGGUUCAAUCUUGCGGUGUCCUUUCCAAGUGACAGUAGGGGCAGCAAGGCAUGUAUUGUAUUGUUGCCAUCGAGGAUAACAAAGAUGGGGUUUAUAUCAUAUUGCAUGAGUUUAUCCCUCUACAUCAUGUCAUCUUACUUAAAGCGUUACUUUGUUCUUUUGAACUUAAUACUCUAGAUGCAUGCUGGAUAGCGAUCGAUGUGUGGAGUAAUAGUAGUAGAUGCAGGCAGGAGUCGGUCUACUUGUCGCGGACGCGAUGCCGAUAUACAUGAUCAUACCUAGAUAUUCUCAUAACUAUGCUCAAUUCUGUCAAUUGCUCAACAGUAAUUUGUUUACCCACCGUAAUACGUAUGCUCUCGAGAGAAGCCACUAGUGAAACCUAUGGCCCCCGGGUCUAUUUUCCAUCAUAUUAAUUUCCCGUCAACAAGCUAUUUCUGGCACCGUUUUUAUUUUGCUUUCUUUACUUUGCAUCUUUAUCAUAAAAAUACCAAAAAUAUUAUCUUAUCAUAUCUAUCAGAUCUCACUUUCGUAAGUGGCCGUGAAGGGAUUGACAACCCCUUUAUUGCGUUGGUUGCAAGGAUUUUAUUUGUUUGUGUAGGUGCGAGGGACUCAUGCGUGGCCACCUACUGGAUUGAUACCUUGGUUCUCAUAAACUGAGGGAAAUACUUACGCUGCUUUACUGCAUCACCCUUUCCUCUUUAAGGGAAAACCAAUGCAGUGCUCAAGAGGUAGCAAUAAGCACCCUUAAAAGCAACAAAUUCUUUAGUUUGUUCGAUAUCAUAGUAGCUAUAAACACCCUUUUCAUAAGAAGAUAAGAUUUCAUUAUCUAUAAACUGACAUAGGUACGGAAGGUGUUUUUUUAGGGUUCUUAGAGCAACAAGUAAAAUCACAAAGAUUCGAAGCAUAACAUAGCAAACAAUUUAUUUGAUUCCAUAAGACUCUCCCUUUUUGAGACAAACGGUGAUGCACAAAAUGAGCAUGCUCAUCUAAAGAUUUUUCCUCAACUAAACUAGUUGGGGUUUUAGCACGAGCACAUAUGGAUCGAAGAUGAUCCAAGUAGAAAACUUUAAGUGGAUCCAAUAAACCUUUUUUGUUUUCUGAUUUUCAAUAAAAAAUACACAAUUAUACCAAGAGAACGAGCAAACAAACCAAGUAAGACAUAGAGACAAACGAAAAGAUGAACGAAAAGAAGGCAAAUAUUUUUAGGUUUUUCUGAAGACAUUUUAGAAGUGGGGGAGAGGAAAACGAGAGGCAAAUGACAAAUAAUGUAAUGCGAUAGAUGAGAGUUUAUGAUAGGUACUUGGUAGGCUUGAUGUAGAACCUCCCCGACAACGGCGCCAGAAAUUCUUCCUGCUACUUCUUGAGAUUGCUUUGGUUUUUCUCUUGAAGAGGAAAGGGUGAUGCAGCAAAGUAGGGAUAAGUAUUUCCCUUAGUUUCAAAACCAAGGUAUCAAUCUAGUAGGAGGUACACGCAAGUCUCCAAUCUAUGCACCUGCACAAACAAUCAAACACUUGCACCCAACGCAAAAAGGGGUUGUCAAUCCCUUCAUGGUCGCUUGCAAGGAUGAGAUCUAAUAGAGAUAGAUAUAAAAGAUAACUAAAAUGUAAAACAAAGUAGAAACAAAUAAAUUGCAGCAAGGUAUUUCUGGGUCUUUUGGUUUAUAGAACUGAAAAUAUAUGAUAAAAGAUAGACCCGGGGGCCAUAGGUUUCACUAGAGGCUUCUCUCUUGAAAGAAAGCAUACGGUGGGUGAACAAAUUACUGUCGAGCAAUUGAUAGAAAAGCGCAAAGUUAUGAUGAUAUCUAAGGCAAUGAUUAUGAAUAUAGGCAUCACGUCCGUGUCAAGUAGACCGAAACAAUUUUGCAUCUACUACUAUUACUCCACACAUCGACCGCUAUCCAGCAUGCAUCUAGAGUAUUAACUUCAUAAGAAUGGAGUAACGCCUUAAGUCAGAUGACAUGAUGUAGAGGGAUAAACUCAAGCAAUACGAUGAAAACCCCAUCUUUCUAUCCUUGAUGGCAACAAUACAGUACGCCUUGCUACCCCUACUUUGUCACUGGAUGAGGACACCGCAAGAUUGAACCCCAAACUAAGCAUCUCUCCCGUUGCAAGAAGAACCAAUCUAGUUGGCCAAACCAAACCGAUAAUUCGAAGAGAAAUACAAAGAUAUCAAAUUAUGCAUAUAAGAAUUCAGAAAAGAGUCAAAUAAUAUUCAUAGAUAAUCUAAUCAUAAAUCCACAAUUCAUCGAAUCUCGACAAACACACCGCAAAAGAAUAUUACAUCGGAUAGAUCUCCAAGAACAUCGAGGGGAGCAUUGUAUUGAAGAUCACAGAGAGAGAACAAGCCAUCUGGCUACUAGCUAUGGACCCGUAGGUCUGUGGUAAACUACUCACGCUUCAUAGGAAGGGCAAUAGGGUUGAUGUAGAAGCCCUCCGUGAUCGAAUCCCCCUCCGGUAGGGUGCCAGAAAAGGCCCCAAGAUGGGAUCUCACGGGAAUAGAAGGUUACGGCGGCGGAAUAGUAUUUUGGUGGACGCUUCUGGUGGUUUGGGACUAUUUGGGGAUUUAUGGAACUGAGAGGGAGGUCGGUGGACUCGCGAGGGGCCCACAAGCCAGGGGCGCCCCCCUUAGGGUGCGCCCUGAGGCUUGUGGAGUCCUCGGGACUCUUCUGGCACUCUCUCCAAGUUACGUGGGUGUCUUCUGGUCCAAGUAAAAUCAUUGCGAAUGUUUUAUUCCAUUUGGACUCCGUUUGAUAUUCCUUUUCUGUAAAACUCAAAAACAAGGAAAAAAACAUAAACUGGCACUCGGCUCUGGGUUAAUAAGUUAGUCCCAAAAAUAAUAUAAAAUAGCAUAUUAAUGCAUAUAAAACAUCCAAAACAGAUAAUACAAUAGCAUGGAACAAUCAAAAAUUAUAGAUACAUUGGAGACAUAUCAUUUAUCUAGUGUGGAAGAUAUUGGGAAUUCUCGAUCGUUUUCGUUGACAGGAAAAGCAUGCCUCUCAGAACAAUUUUAUCUCUCAAUUUAAGCUUUGAGCUCUGGACCUCUACAAAUCUCUGCUUCCCUGUGCGAAGGGUCUAUCUAUUUACUUUUAUGCAUUUUUUAUUUUUAUUUAGUCUCCAUCUUCUCUUAUAAAGCGUCAACUUGGGAACACUGUUGUCAUACUUGUGCAUUGGAUGUAGCUAAUAUUUGAGUGUGUUUCGUGAAUGGAUCAAUGAUUGAGCAUAAUGGGCUAGGGAUAACUCGCUUUAGCAUUGAUAUUUUGAAAGACAUGGUUGGUUGUUGAUAUGCUUGAGUAUUGAUGUCUUCAUGUCAAAUUAUAGACCAUUGCUUUGAAUCACUUAAAGUCAAAAUGUCCAUGCUACAAAAGAAAAGAAUAUGUGAUGAACAUGAUAGGUAGCAUUCCACAUCAAAAAUUCUAUUUUUAUCAUUUACCUACUCGAGAACGAGCAGGAAUUAAGCUUGGGGAUGCUUGAUACGUCUCCAACGUGUCUAUACUUUUUUAUUGUUCCAUGCUAUUAUAUUAUCAAUCUUGAAUGUUUUAUAUACAUUUACUAGCAACUUUAUAUCAUUUUUUGGGACUAACCUAUUAACUUAGUGCCAAGUGUCAGCUGUUGUUUUUUUGCUUGUUUUCACUUAGGAGAAUAUCAAUACCAAACGAAGUCCAAAUGCCACGAAACUUUUUGGAGAUUUUUUAUGGCAAGAAGAGACCCUAGAAGCUUCUCGAAGCCAUGAGAAGAGACUCAUGGGGCCCACUAGGCACCAGGGCGCGCCAGGGGCCUUUGGUCGGCCCUGGUGGGUAGUGGGGCCCACGGGCACCGUCUUGACCUACCUGCUCCUCUAUAAAUACUCUAAAAUCCCAAAAACCUUAGGGGAGUCAACGAAAUACUUUUUUCGCCGCCGCAAGUUCCAGAACUAUGAGAUCCAAUCUAGAGGCCUUUUCCGGCACUCUGCCGGAGGGGGCAACAAUCAAGGAGGGGUUCUUCAUCAUCCUUGCUGCCCCUCCGAUGAUGCGUGAGUAGUUUACCACAGACCUACGGGUUCAUAGUUAGUAGCUAGAUGACUUCUUCUCUCUUUAUGAUCUUCAAUACAAUGUUCUGCUGGAUGUUCUUGGAGAUAUAUUUGAUGUAAUGACUCUUUGCGGUGUGUUUGUUGGGAUCCGAUAAAUUGUGAGUUUAUGAUCAGAUCUAUCCAUGAAUAUUAUUUGAGUUUUCUAUGAACUCUUUUAUGCAUGAUUAUUAUAGCCUCGUAUUUCUUGUCCAAACUAUUGGUUUGGUUUGGCCAACUAGAUUGAUUUUUUAUUGCCAUGGGAAGAGGUGCGUUGUGAUGGGUUCGAUCUUGCGGUACUCAAUCUCUGUGACAGAAAGAGACAUGACACGCAUGUAUCGUUUCUAUUAAGGGUAACAAGAUGGGGUUUAUUCAUACGUGAGUUUAUCUUGUUUACAUCAUGUCAUCUUGCCUAAUGCAUUACUCCAUUUUUCCAUGAACUUAAUACACUAGAUGCAUGCUGGAUAGCAGUCGAUGUGUGGAGUAAUAGUAGUAGAUGCAGAAUCGUUUCGUUCUAAUAAUCUUGGACGUGAUGCCUAUAUACAUGAUCAUUGCCUUGGAUAUCGUCAUAAUUAUUUGUUUUUCUAUCAAUUGCCCAAUAGUAAUUUGUUUACCCACCGUAUGCUAUUUUCUUGAGAGAAGCCUCUAGUGAAAACUAUGUCCCCCGGGUCUAUCUUUUAUCAUAUAAAAAUCCUAAAAAUACCUUGCUGCAAUUUUAUUUCAUUUAUUUUAUUUUGUGUUCUAGUUAGAUCUAUUUAUCAAUUCCUAUAAAAUUUAAUCUAUCUCAAUACCAUUCAGGGAUUGACAACCCCUCUACGCGUUGGGUUGCAAGUAUUUGUUGUUUGUGUGCAGGUGCUGUUUACAUAGUGUUGCUUGGUUCUCCUACUGGAUUGAUAACCUUGGUUCAUAACUAAGGGAAAUACUUAUCUCUAAUAUACUACAUCAUCCCCUCCUCUUCGGGGAAAUCCUAACGCAGCUCACAAGUAGCAGGUGCCCACUAGGCACCAGGGCGCGCCUGCCCCUCCUGGUGCGCCCUGGUGGUUAGUGGGCCCCUCAGGAACCUUCCCGACUCCGUUUUCCUCUGGAUUACUUGUUUUGCAAGAUAAACAUUCUUUAUAUAUACUCCCGGACAUUUUGACCACCGUAUCGCAGGAAAUCCUUGGUUCUUGUUUCGUGUUGUUUUCUGUCAGAUCUAGAUCGCCAUGGCUUCACCAAGCUCUUUCAAGGACAAGUUCUACGAGAAGUCAUCAACCCCUACCUGCCGAAGGUGAUGAAGCACCCUCAAGCCAUUGAGAUGCGUGAGGGGGUGCUCCACAUCCGGGAUAUUCAAGGGCCCAAGAAGACAGGAAGCGUGGAGGCCAGGUUUGAGGCGGUGGAGCAGGAUAUCUUCAGGUGCCAAGGGAUGGUGGAGCGUGGACUUAGGGCCAACCAUUCCAUGAUCACGGAAUUCACCCGUGACCAGAAGGUGGAUGGCGAGUCCAUGAAGGACAUCGUCUUCAACUUCAACGAACAAAACAAUUAUCUCCAUGGCCAAAUUUAUAAUCUCCAAAAUCAAAAUUUUGAGUAUGAGGCAAGAUUCAAAGGUAUGAGUUUAGCUGCAAGUUUCAGGGCUCCGGAGACUCGUGCAUCUUUUUAUGAUGGUGAACCUAUGCCGUGGAAGCCGGAGGACAAGCCCACUACUUCUUCACCACCACCAUCACCAAAGAAGGAGACUUGAGUACACGUGUAUGGGCACUCCCCUUGGCUUGUGCCAAGCUUGGGGGAGGUGCCCCGGUAUCGUAUCACCACCACUUUUAUUAUCUUUACCUAUUUUAGUUUGGUCCUUAGUUAUUUCGUGAUUUAGUUGAAUAAAAGUUUAGUAUGAUCUAUUUUCGUGUGCUAGUUUCGUGAUCUAUCUAUCUAUGUAAUCGAGUUGAGAGUUAUAUAAUAAAGAUUAGUUUGAGUGUUUUGCUUCUUUACUUUUAUGUUUCAAUCAAAAUAAAGGAAAUAAUGAAAACUAUCGUAUGCUAAUCUCAUGGAAGGUAAUGACAUUACAUAAGAAAGAGUGUAAGUGGUAAAAUUUAUUGAAAGUUGACAAACAUAGCAUUGGUCAAUGAUGCAAUUCAUGAAAGAAAUUAAUAAGAGAAGAGAAUAUUCACAUGCAAAUAUACCAUCUUGGACAUCUUUUAUGAUUGUGAGCCCCCAUUAAGUAUUUUAUGUCAAUUUGUUGACGCUGGAAAAGGAAGACAACUUAAUGAUUUAUGUUUGUUCAUAUUCACAUAGAAGUUAUAUUGUCAUAGAUCCUCCAACAUAUGGUGCUUGCCCAACAUCUUGCUAGCCAAAAAUCCAAACCAAGUAGAGAUACUACUUGUGCAUCCAAAAACUUUAAACCCAAUUUCUUGUUAUGAGAGUCCACCAUACCUACCUAUGGACUGAAUAAGAUCCUUCAAGUAAGUUGUCAUUGGUGCAUAAGGUAAUAAAAAUUGCUUCUAAAUAUGUAUGCUCUUUUAGUGUAAGGGAAAAUAAGCAUUGUACGAACUUGUGAUGGCAGAGUAAUAAAAGCGGCGGACUGCAUAAUAAAGGUUGCUAUCACAAGGGGCAAUAUAACGUGACGUUCUUCUGCACUAAGAGCAUGUGCGUCCAAAAGUUAAAAGCGCAUGACAACCUCUGCUUCCCUCUGCAAAGGGCCUAUCCUUUAUUUUUAUGUAUUUACUUUUUAUGCAAGAGUCAAUAGUAUUCUCUUCUACUCCUUUUUAUUUUUCUCUUUUGCAAGAAUCAUGUGGUGGGGAAAGAUCUAGGCACAUAUAUGCAGUUGGAUAUAAGUGAUCAUGAGUUACUAUUGUUGACAACACCCAUGUGGUGAAUAAGUUGGGAGGCGAAAAUUAUAAGCCCCUAUCUUUCUAUGUGUCUGGCUGAAAUUUUUUGCUCCAUAUAUAUGUUGUGAGUGUUAGCAAUCAUAGAAGACUAAAUGAUAGUUGAGUAUGUGGACUUGCCAAAAGGCUUCGACAUGAGACCCUUCUUGAAAAUAUGAUGAAUUGCAAUUGCAUUGUUGACUCAGAACAUAGUUUAUUAGUUUUCAAGAAAGUUUAUUCCUUUUACUUUGAUGAUUAUGAUGAAUUGUACUUGCUCAUGAGAAGUUUUUGAUAAAGUUUAUUGUUGUUAUAUUAAUGAUCAUGAUGCUACUAUGUAUGUAUUUUGGUUUUUAUCGACACCUCUUUCUCUAAACAUGUGGACAUUAUUAUCGAUAUCGGCUUUCGCUUGAGGGCAAAUAAGGUCUAAGCUUGGGGGAGUUGAUACGUCCAUUUUGCAUCAUGUUUUCCUACUGUCAUUUAUAGUGUUUUCAUUCAAUAUAACACUUUGUGGAGUGAUUCUAAUGCCUUUUCUCUCAUAAUAUGCAAGGUUUACACAAAGAGGGAGAUUACCAGCAGCUGGAAUUCUGGAUCUGAAAAAGCUAUGUUAGAGAUACCUACUCUGCACAUCUCCAAAUGAGCUGAAAUUUUACGAAGAUUUAUUUUGGAAUAUAUAAGAAUUAUUGGAGAAAAGAAAUACCAGAGGGACCACCCAGGUGCCCACUAGGCACCAGGGCGCGCCUGCCCUCCCCUGGCAUGCCCUGGUGUGUAGUUGGGCCCCUGGCCAGCCUCCGGUGCCCAUCUUCUAGUACAUAAGCCCAUUUGCCCUAGAAAAAAAAAAUCAAGAGAGGACUUUCAGGACGGAGCACCGCCGUCUCAAGGCGGAACUUGAACAAGAGCACUUUUUCUCUCCGGCGGAGAGAUUUCGCCGGGGAUACUUCCCUCCCGGAGGGGGAAAUCUAAGCCAUCGUCAUCACCAACCACCCUCUCAUCGUGGGAGGGCCAAUCUUCAUCAAUGUCUUCAAAAUCACCAUCUCAUCUCAAAACCCUAGUUCAUUUCUUGUGUUCAAUCUUUGUAUCAAAUCCUCGGAUUGAUACAUGUGGGUGACUAGUACUGUUGAUUACAUCUUGUAGUUGAUGCUGGUUGGUUUGUUUGGUGGAAGAUUAUAUGUUCAGAUCUAUUAUGCUAUUCAAUACCCCUCUGAUCUUGAGCAUGAAUAUGUCUUGUGAGUAGUUACUUUUGUUCUGGAGGACAUGGGAGAAGUCUUGUCAUAAGUAAUCAUGUGAAUUUGGUAUUCGUUCGAUAUUUUGAUGAUAUGUAUGUUGUGAUUCCCUUAGUGGUGUUAUGUGAACGUCGAGUACAUGACACCUCACCAUCUUUGGGCCUAAGGGAAUGCGUUAUGGAGUAGUUAUUAGAUGAUGAGUUGUUAGAGUGACAAAAGCUUAAACCCUAGUUUAUGCAUUAUUCCGUAAGGGGCUGAUUUGGAUCCAUAUGUCUAAUGCUAUGGUUAGAUUUUUUUCUUAAUUCUUCUUUCAUAGUUGCAGAUGCUUGUGAGAGGUGUCAAUCAUAAGUGGGAGACUUGUUCAAGUAAGGCCAACACCCAAGCACCGGUCCACCCACAUAUCAAAUUAUCAAAGUAGCGAAUGCAGAUCAAACAAACAUGAUGAAAUUGACUAGAUGAAAUUCCCGUGUCUCCUCAAGAACACCUUGCUUAUUAUAAGAGACCGUUCCGGUCUGUCCUUUGCUACAAAAAGGAUUGGAAUACCUUGCUGCACUUUUGUUACUGUUACUGUUACUUGCUCAUUACAAAUUAUCUUGAUAUGAAAUUACCUGUUACCAACAAUUUCAGUGCCUGCAGAAAUUACCUUGCUGAAAAUUGCUUCUCAUUUUCUUCUACUCCUUGUUGGGUAGACACUCUUACUUAUCAAAAGGACUACGAUUGAUCCACUAUACUUGUGGGUCAUCAGCCACCAUCACGUCCACCCAAGUCAAUUUCGUAUAAUGCGGCUUGGGCGGCCUUAGCCCACUGUAGAAAAUCGUCUGCAUUAAGUGCGGGCCCCGACGCGAACGCUCGCACGGGCACAGGCGUUGGCAUGGCACGGGCACGGGCGCAUCCAUCUGCACGGCCUCCGCCUCCAUCUGAGCAACCUCCUCCAACGCCUUGUCCAUCUCUGCCCACAAGGGGGCCAGAGGAUCCUCUUCCUGCUCCUCGUCAACGACGCCAAAAUAGAAGACUAGGGAUGCGCAUGGACGAAGUGUUAGUGCUGGAUUUGAGAUGGGAAUGGUGCGAGAGAAGGGACGAUCACUAUCUUAUAGCUCGCUGUAGGCGAGCUCUCCAUUAAGGAGAGGUGGUUGGAUAGGCGGCCGAAGGGGCGGUCAAAGUAUGUCGCGGCCUCAUCUCACUCCUUUAGUACGCACAGACUACCAUAUCGACGCGACAUCCGCUGGUCAAAGGCAUGUCUUCCGGUGAGAAUCGCUGACUUGGCCUGCUCGAUACCUGGACACUGGCCGCAAAGACGCAUCCAGACCGCCUGCAAACACGCCAUCAGGCGACCUGUAAACACGCAACCGGGUCGCCGCAUGAACGUAGCCUGCACAAACGCUCGCACAUGUCCUUUUCUUGCUAAUCUUCUGAAAUAACUCAUGACGGCGCCGCUCCAAUAAUUUAUGUGACACUAAUAACCGUAAUAUACCAGCUGAGCGACAGAUAAAAACAUCACCCAAAAUCAGGCAAAACGUCGCCAAAGAUGCUAAGGGUGUUGCCCGGGAGGAAAACACCUGGUGACGAUGGACCAUCACAGAAAAUGAUUUUAGGCUAUGGUUUGUUAUUCAUCACUAGGGUUUUUGCCAUCGAAUAGAGCAGAUUUUGUAGUGACGAUACAUGCCCCGUCCUCGCUUCGAUGCAUAUCUCCAGUGUAACGCUUCACCGAAAAGCUAGAUUAUAGUAAUUGUGUUUAAAAUUUAUGUCGUUUCAUGUUUAAUAUGCCACAUUUCAUACGAGUUUUCAAUGAAUUUAUAUGUUUAGGCCUCCAUUGGUUUGGAGGAAUUUCACAUGAAUUCUAUAGGAUGGGAUUGUUGUAGGAAUUUUUCUUCAGUUCAUAAGAAUGAAUUCCUAUUCCUACAUAGGACACGUUCCUAUCCUCCAUAUUUUAAAGGAAAAUAAGUAUGAGCUUAGACUUAAUAAAAAAUAUUCUAUAAUGUGAACCAAAUGGACAUCCGAUUUCGUAAUUCUACUCAUAGGAUUUGUGAUACAUGCCAUCUUAUUUCCUACAAGUUUUCUAUUUCUGUGAUAAUCCUAUACCAUGAACCAAAGGAAGCCUUAGUUCAUGUGAUUUUAGGGCUGUCAUAUAAGAAAAGAAAUAUGAUGCCCUUAAACCUCCUAUCUUUUCAACUAAAACUAUUUUUAGGACAUCAUCUUUUGGGCAGUGGUUGGAGGUUGAGUGAGUACAGAUUUUUUUUCAGCAACUGUUUUUUUUCUCGCACUAAGUUUUUAUAGCAUCGCUAUCCAGGCACUUGAGUAAGUACCUCGGGCCCAUCUCCUAUCAGUGUGUGUCCAUCGGACAUGAAGAAACAUUUCGGGGGUGUUUGGUUCAGAAGAUCCUAAGACUUUUUCUAGUCUCAGGACUAAUAAAAAAAAACUCUAAUAGAGUCUUUUUCUAGUCUUUAUAAAAAAAGUCCUUCCCGUUUGGUUCGUAAGGACUUUGUAGUUUCUGAACUAAAAAGUCGCUGAACCAAACACCCCCUUCAUGAAGCGCGAGCUUGGCGGGAACUGCGGGGUGGCACACCAGUUGCCGAGGCGGGACUGACGGGGACAGCCGGACAGGUCGCGUCGGUAACCCCAUUCCACGCAGACACGCCGUGGGACCUUCAGAGGUAAAGAUAGCUCUGGAGCCCUCGUUCUUGGCUCGGCGCUACUUUUGGCGCUGGCAUUUUGGGAAGUGGAAACGUGGAGCUGCCUGCUCUUAGGUAGUCACGGAUUCCUCAGCCGGCCACUCAUUGUAGGUGAGCAUGAGAGGGUGCUUGAAUACAGGACAACAAAUUCCUGGAAAAUGCAUUUCCUUUUUUUUACUUUUUUUCUUAGACCGUGAGCUUGCAUGCAUAACAAGCACACGAUACUAUAGGGGUCCGUUUGAUUUAUAGGAUUGCAAAAACAUAUGAAUAGGAAAAAAAUGUAGGAUUAGAAUGGCAUGUCAGUUGGAUUCUAUAGGAUUUGAGUUGGUUUGAUUGUGUCAUGAAAAAAACAAAAGAUUUCUUUCAAGAGGUUGGGGUGGAUGUUAGAAUUCCUGUAAAAUGUAGUAUAAAUGAAUUCUUAGAAAAAAAACCCUAUAAGAUUCAAUCCUACGAAUCAAGGGAUCAACGCAGGAAAAAUUUCUAAGGAUUCUAAUCCUCCAAAGUCUCAUAAAAAUCAUUUGAAUCAAAAAGACCCUAACAGCAUGAAAUGAUUAAGGGUGCCGUUGUGACUGAUGCAUCGAGCCAUACGAACCUUGGGGGCAGGGACUUUACCAUACUGCUGCUUUGGAGAUUUCAAUUUCAAAAUCAAAAGCUGCCGGACUCAAAAGAAAAUCAAGAGUUGGUGUUAUUCGCCUGGAAAGAGAACUUGGCUGUGAUAUAUCAUGUGCGGUUGGGCACCAAACUCGAUUCACCAUACUCACUCCGAUCCCAAAUAUAAGUCUUUUUAGAUGUUUCAACAAGUGACUACAUACGAGUAAAAUGAAUGAACCUACAUUCUAAAAUAUAUUUACAUACAUCCGUAUAUUAUAGUCCAUUUAAAAUGUAUAAAAAGACUUAUAUUUAGAAACAAAGGAAGUAGUUAUCAAAAUAAUCAGAAACGGUGCUAGAUUAUAACAGAAAGACCCGAAAAAAAAAGAAAAAGGAAGUCAAGAAGAGAGAGAGGGGGGCUGUGCCACUUGUGCGCCAUGAUUGGCCCAUUUUGGUUUUCAGCCUCGUUUAUUUAUUUACUGUUUUUCUUUUCUGUUUCGUUUUGUUUCCUUUUUUCCAACUUUUUUCGUCUACUUCAUUUAUUUUUUUAUUUUUCACUACAUUAAUGUUAAAACGCUCUUAUAUUAGUGAACGAAAGGAGUAAUCUUUUAGACUAGAAUUCGUCUCGUAGUAUAUGAACAUACUCCCUCUAUUUCUUUUUAGUCUACAUAUUAAAUUAAUCUGAAGUGAAAUUUUGUAAAGUUUGAACAAUUUUAUAGGAAUAUAAUAUUUUAAUAUUUACAAUAUGGAAUCGAUAUGAUUAGAUGCAUCAUGAGAUUAAAUAUCAUUCCAUAUAACUGAAGUAUUGUAGAUGCUGAUAAUUUUUAAUAUAAACUUGGUCAAGCUUUACGUGGUUUGACUUCAGACUAGUCUUAUACGCGAAGUAAAACAGAAACAGAAUAUGUUAAUAUGUUUUUUAGAAAAUCUAUGACCUUUUCAGAAAUAGAUGGGAUUUGUUCUGAGAAUAAGCACAUGUACUUUAUUUAAUACAAUAUUCUAUGUUUUUAAUGCCUAAAGGACAUUUAUUUGCCUAUUGAUGAAUAUUUUUUGUUUAGUGCAUAAACAUUUUUUAUCUAACUGAUAUCCUUAAAACCUAUUAAGAAAAUCCAUUUUCCCAACAUAAAAAUUAAAAACAAACUUAACGGGUUGUACCGACAGUCGACCCUAAUAAUAAUAUUUAGUUAGGCUUUGGUUGUCUCUUUUUUAGAACUAGAUGAUACGCCACGCAUUGCUGCAGAAAUCGAUUGUAAUAUACUUCAGUGAGAUUUGAUUGUGUGGAAUAUAAAUAUUUUGAUUAAUAACAUGUGAACCAAAAUCUUAAAUAUUUUCCCAUGCAUGGUUACAUGUGGUGGUGGGUCUUUCUCCAUUCAUGGUUGCAUAUUGAGGUGAGUCUUAUCCCAUUUUAUAAUUGUAUGGCGAUGUGGCAUGCUUGUAUAUUGAGAUAAAUAUGUUAGAGCACGGUUAAUAGUAUAGCCAACUGCUAGCUAUAUGAUAUUGCCAUGUUAUAUAUAGUCACCACUUAUAGUCACUCUAUAAUAAGGUUAGCUAUAAGGUUGGUCGUAGGCUUGUAGCUACUACUUUCUUACACGUUCUCUCUAUCUGUUUCUUCAUAUGUAUUGCAUUUGCCUAGGAGUACGCAUAUAGCUAGACACUUGCAUGAGAACACACUUCCAGCAUUUUUCCAUGUCUCUCUCCUCCACACACGCGAAAGUGCCAUGUCAGUGGCCAUAAACCGAUUAUUAUACUUGCUUUUAGUGGAGAUGACUCUAUUAGGUAUAUAGAACAGUCAUUGGACGUCUCUUUGCAGGAGGAGCUUUGUCUCGCUUAGAGUGAAACAAAAUGACAUGUCGCCUCCGGCGCACCCAAAAUGGCUCGUCCCAUUGCACGAGGGAGCACCGGCUCCUAGCUCACGUUUUUCUUUGUUUUAUUACUGUUAUUUAUAUUUAUGAAAAUGGAUACAUAUUUUAUUUAAAUCUUAUAAAACACUAAUUUCUCUUUUCAAAAAUGUCCAUGCAACUUUUAGAAAAUGUUGAUAGCAUUUUGAAAAAGUACACCCACUUUGAAAAAAUUGUUCAUGAUAUUUACAAAAAUGUUUAUGCAAUGUAAAAAUAUAUCCGUAUAACUAAAAAACAUGUUUUGUAUCAUUCAAAAAAUUUAUGCAGCAUUUUAAAAAAUAGUCAUGUGUUUCAAAAUGAUAUAUGUGACACUUUUUAAUAAUGUUUAUACAAUGUAAAAAAAACGGCCACGUGAUAUAAGAAAAAUGUUAAGUACCACUAAAAGAUGUUCAUGACUUCUUAAAAAAUAUUGGUGAAAUUUUGAAAAACAAUUAUACAAUGACAGAAAAAAGUUUAACAUACUUUGACAAAAAUGUUUCAUGCCAUGAAAAAAUGUUUCUACAAUGUAAAAAAAUGCUUACGUAAUUUACUGAAAAUUUUUAAUGCCAUUAAAAAAUUGUACAAUGUAAAUAAACAGUGAAAAAAUGUUUCUUGCCAUUAAAAAUAUAUUCCACGUGUAUUUCAGAAGAAUUUAACUUUUAUUUGAAAAGAUUUUGUAAAAAUAUAGUUGAAUUUGAAACAUGUUUAACAUGUAUUAAAAAGAUGGAAAAGGGGGAAAAUAAAUAAAAUAAAAGAGGUAAAUCUAAAAAAUCAGUGAAUAAAUGCAAAAAAAUAAAGAAAACCAGUUAAUAAAAAAAGAAAAAUAGAAAAGGGGAUAAGAAAACAAAGAGAGAGAAAACUCGAGCCAGAGGCGCUACACUACUGGGCUGGCCCACUUCCUCGCACCCAGAGACGAGACCAAGUUACUACUCGCAACGCGCGAGAAAUAGACUUGUCAGCUGUUAGGCUCACACUCUUUUUGAGGAAUAAAAUAGUGCAAUUUCUCACGCAUUGCGUGUAAAUCCAACUAGUCGGCCUUACAUGUAAAUCCGGCACGGUGUUUUAAAACAACUUCGACCCAAUCUACGUAUGGACUUGUUGUUUUGCUUCCUCGAAGGUCGCAUUCUUAUUCUUAUCCGCCUUUAUGCCUGAGACCUCCUCUUUCGUGCCUUGAGCACCAGAAAGCUUACAUGGCGCUCAUGCGCUAGCCAACUGGGCCUGGCCCAAACAAAGGAAGAAGGUCGCUCUGGUUUCCUAGGUCGCACGGUCGAUCGAUCAACAUGAGCUGCCCUCUCGUUUGACCGGUCGAUGGUUGACUAGUCAGCUGUUCACCGGUCAAUAUUUGACCGUUUGAUAUUUUUGAUAAAUAGAUCUGAAAAUUUUGGAAAAAUCUUGAGUUUGUCAAGAGUUCAUAGCCUUGAAAAAAGGUUCGCAAAAAAAAGUUCAAAAUUUUGGAAAAAGUUCAUGAAAUUUGCGAAAAUGGCCAUAGAUUUUGAAAAAGGAUCAUCGAGUUUUGAAGAAAAACUUCACGAAUUUGAGUUCAUCGAUUUUGGAAGAAAAAAAAGAGUUUAUCAAUUUUGAAAAGUUCAUGAAUUGGAAAAAAUCAUUGUUUUUAAAUAAGUCCAUGAAUUUGAAAAACAAAAUCAUGAUAGAUUUUAAAAUUAGUUCACUAUUUGGAAACGGUUAACUUUUUUUAGUAAAGUUGACGAAUCUGAGUGAAAAUUAAUUUGAUUGAAAAUAAAAAAUUCAGGAAAAAACGGAAAAUUAUUUCAAAUUUGAAAAAAAACAUGGAUUUCAUAAAAACGUAAAUUAAAAAAUAAAACUUAAUAAGAAGAUAAAAAGGAAAUGAAAAAAGCAGGUGAAAAAACCCUUCAUGGGCCGGCCCGUUUAGUUUCUUGUGUUGCGAGGGGGUGUGCGCCGGUUAGCAAAAAUGCACUGUAAUCGGCGCUUAAGGCACCAAAUAGGAGUUGGGUCUAUGCUUUCGUCUCAAACAAUUGAUGCUUGACUCAUCCGCAAGCUUCUUCUUAAUUACUACUAUUAUUUUCUCUAUCUAAUAAAGAAGACUCGUCCAAAGUGUUUAUGCAUAAAAAUAUACUCUAAAUCUCCUCUAUCUAUCUACUCAUGUGAUAUAAUCGUAGCAGAGAAAAGAACUCUAUCCAAAGGAGCUUGCCUCUGACCAGCAAAAGCCUAAACUAUAUACAAAGGCCACAUGAUUUGGCGUGCCGCGUCCCCAACUUCCAACUCCCGGCAGUCGGUCGCCAGCUUCCCGCGCCAAAUCCAAUGGGUGGUGAUGCCAAAUCUUAGUCUGUUGGAUUCUACCCACCAGACCACAUCAUUGGCCGCAGAACAGUCGGUAAGGUGAGACGAUUCUCCGAUUCUCAGUCGUCGCCAGUAUUCCCUGUGUACAAAACAAGAUGAUGAUGUGUGUGCGGUAGUUUAGCGCUUGGUAACUCUUACGUUUCAUUCUCCUCCCCCGUGCGGCGGCGCCGCGCCGCACCGGGGCCUCUCCGCCGGGCCUCCCUCUCCUUCCGCCGCCGCCGCCGAGGGCAUCGCAGGCUAAGCCUGCGGGCCGCAGCGGCGGCGGCGGCAAUCUUCCUCGGCCGGUGAUCGGAUCUGGGUGGCGGCGACCCACUCCGGCCGAUCCAAGGGCGAUGGCGCAGGCCGGUGGCGUCCAGGGUUGUCGUGCUGGUGGCGGCGACGAAGAGAUCACGUCGGCGGCUAGGGUGUCCGAUCUGGAUCCCAUUCGGAUCUUGAUGGUGGUUUCUCGAGCCGUCGUGCAUCCUUUGUUCCGGCGCGGCAAGCGGCCUCUGGACUAGGCACGCGACACGAGGACGUCGGGGGCUCCGGCCCUCGGCGUGGAGGUGGUGGCCAUCUUCUUCGCCAGAGGUGGUCGGCUAGAUGGUUGUGGAUUCUCGCAUCCAGUCUCGGCGUACAGUGGGUAGACGGGGCUGUCGGUGAAAACCAUGCUAUGACUCGGGUCAUGGCGGGCGAUGGCGGCGCUUUUCGCGUCGUUAUCUUGUUGAAGACAUCGCCUCUGCAGCUUCUGUCGACUUGCUUGCGCUGCUCUGGGUGAAAACCUUGAUCCGGAGUUUCCGGAUCAGACGAUGGCGGUGCUUUUGGGGCGUCGUUUUCCCUCAUGGGGGCAUCUUUUUUUGAGCAGCGGCUGGAUGCAGGACCAGAGGACGGAUUCUUUGGUGGAGCGGUGCGGCAUCUCACUCAUUGAUGGCGGCGGGUCUCGGCGGCAUGGCGUUGUGGUGACUCUGCGUCCGAUGCGCGGAGAUGGACUCGCGCAGGAGGGUGACGCGGUCUGGCGUCGUGGUGGCGUCGACGGCAAUUAGACCGGGCAAGGUAGAUGCAGCAGUACAGCUCUGAAGAUGGAUUGGUGGCAGGUGGCUGCGGCGGCCUCAGACCCGGCAGGCGUCCUGGUUGAGGAGUGCGCCGGACUGGUAGGUGACCCAUACCCGGCAGGCGUCCUGGAUGGGACCUGGGGUCUUAAAUGUUAGGUUUGGCUGCGAGGUCUGUUUGGUACUAGGCCCAGACUAUCAGCAUCCCUUCAUCACUUGGAUAGGAGUAGCGACACUUUUGUUGCCUAGACGGUGGCUUCAGUCUUACUGUUGUAUGACUUUGUGAGGUCUUAUACCAAUAAUUAAUAAAGUGGCUGCAUGCAUCGUUCAGAUGCAGAGGCUAGGGGUCCUCCUCCAUUUUUAAAAAAAAUAACAAGAUGAUGAUACGCCCCUCCUCCCAACCGGUAGUUCAAAUGGGCCGCGUAGCUGAACUGGUCGCCCAAAAUAGAAAGGCAACGCCAGCGCCAACUGCUGGCCGUAGCCGGCCGCCGGCUGCUUCGCAAUAUUUGGGUGCAGGACUGCAGGAGCAGGUGAAGGAGGCGUGCACCUUCAGAUCAGAUGUAUUGGAUCAUGACAUGAUCAGCUAUUUUGAACUCUCUAGUCCACUAGUACAAAUUACAUGCCCAGCUAAUUCAGCCUUCUUUUGUGUUGUGGCAAGCCGGAGCACUUCGGGCAGUUUAAAGUUGGCAGGCGAAACAGACCUGCCCAGCAAAGACGUCCAAGGGCACAUGAUGGCGGUGUGCCGGAUAUGCACGCGCCGUGCAAACGCGAUGAAAUGGGUCACACCUCACCAUCCUUUAUCACUCGCCAGCCUCCGUUCCGAAAGCACAGGUCCACCAGACCAGAAGCGAGUCGGAUUGCAUGGCCGCUAAUUAACGACAAGACAGAGCGGAACUGGACGUCUCCCCGCCUUUUUUCCUUUCAAAACGGAGUAAGAUAAUUGUCCCAUCAAUUACUUAAGCAGAAGAGAAUUACCCAUUUAAUUGACCGACAAAAACCAGGCGAAAAUCGUCAUAAUAUGACCACAUUUGGAUAGACCACUCUCAAAGCAUGAAUCCCCAAGACGUCAAAGAAAAAAGAGAGAGAGCAUGAAUCCUCACAACCACCUCAACAGAUGAACACACGUCUGCCCGACCUGAUCUACAACAGCCCCGCUGAAGAAGCUAGUGCGAUCUACGCCAAGCACGCCGGUCUCUUCUCCUUUCUUCCGUUGUGCUCGCGUACCGACCCGGUCACCUCCCGCAGCCACACAAAGCCAACCCCGACCCGAUCCGAUCCGAUGACGCCGCGUUCCGGGGAGAUAAGGCCACGCGUCUCCGGCCACGCCAAGCCGCGCCGAUCGAGCAGCAGACACCACCGUUGGGGCCGAGAAAUCCCGCGCCAACAGCGACGCGUAUCCGACGAUCCCCGCCUCAUCCGGUCGACGGUGGGAUUUCACAUGCUGUCGCUCGUCUCGUUGCGCGCAGACCACGUUCCCCCCUGCUCACGGCCGGGGACAGCUGCGUGGUCCACCCCGAAACUUGGAAAACUCCGGCUCGCGGGCACAUGAUUUUUUGGCGCGCCGCGCGCGCGGUGGUGGUGGUGCCGUGGCCGGUCGCUUUCCUUGGAUUCUCCGCGCGAUUCGGGCCGGGCCGGCCACGGAUGGAUCAUGCGCGCGCGCCGAGGAAUAUGCCGCCCGGCGCCCGCCCUCCUUAUCGCUUCUUCUUGAGUUGAUAUUUUUGUAUAAGACGGAGGCGUCUUUUGGGUGAUGGCUCUGGGCGUGUCUGGUUCCAACUGCCUUCCCGUGUGGAUAAAACGGGAGGCGUCGACCGACCCCAUGUUGCGCGCGCGAGCCGCCCGCCCCGCCCGGCCCGGCCAGGUCAGUGCGGCCGGCUCCGUGGACGCGUUCCAGAAAAUUUGACUCCCCACGACAGAAAGAGGCGGCCGGGUGGAAGGGUCGUACCAGUCGAGCUCGCUAUUGGACUAGGGAACGUGUCCGAGAGUUUCCCAACACGCAAAAACACGAGUCGUGGAUUUCGCCCCGGAGCAAGACAUGGUGGAUGCGUCACCACUCGUAGACCACACACGAAACGACUUUUGAAAUUUAUGGAGCUACUUACUAGUCCGGCACCACGAGCUUGAACAAGUCCACCUGCCCACGGAUAAGGAUUAGGGAGCACAGAUUCUUGGCAGACAACCUACUUGAGUGAAAUUAGUGGUCAGUGCCACGGAUUAGGACACGUAAUUGUCCCCGCUAGACAAAAAGCGGGUACCAUCUGCGUCGGUGGGAGUCGACACCGCGAGCCAUGGGAACACGGAAACACAAACACCGUUUCAUCACCCUAGCUUGUCGACGGUCUGGUUGGGCCAGCAAACCAGCGGCCGUGUCCCUGCACCGGUGCUCGUGCCAUGGCAGGCGCGUGAGCUAGCCGAGCUGUCCCUUGUUCUUUUCCACUGGGCGAACACGCGCCUUCCACCUGGACUGGUCGCGGGGGCGGGUGUCCAGUUACGCACAGCUCAUCACUUUCGCCAGGAAUUAUGGUACAGUCCUUAACCUGAUUGUCCCACUACGCCUCUUUUUCUUUUUCUUUUUCCGAAACGGAGGCAAAAGAUUUGCCUCAUCCAUUAAUUAAGAAGAAGUUUAAAAUUGCUUUUACAACGAAAAGCAAGGAGAUUUAAAUACAAAGCCACUACUCUCCCGGUAUUAUGAGACCCAAAUGUUUGGCUCCUGCCAUGACCCAAAGCUUAGCCUCCCGCUGAAUGUUGAGUAAUAGGACGGACGUCAGAGUAGACUUGUGUUGGAACACCCUAGCAUUCCUUUCACACCAGAUAGUCCAACAAGUCAACAUGAUGAGGGAAGCGAUGGCUUUCCGGUGUCUCACGCCGACGCCCGACAUGUUGAUCCACCAAUCGUGGAUGGAACGCCUAGUCAUCCAAACCGAGGUGUUGAUGAAGUCUAGAUUGAGCCAUCCCUUGAUCAUCCCCCAAAUUCUAGUGGAGAAGCGACACUUGUAGAAUAAGUGAUUAACGGUCUCGCCCGUUUGUUUGCAAAGCGGGCAGAGCCCACAGUUGGGCCACCCCCUUUUCUGUAAUCUAUCCGCCGUCCAGAUACGGUUUUGAAUCACAAGCCAAGCGAAAAAUUUCAUCUUGGGUGGCGCCCAAGCCUUCCAAACCGCGAAGUGCAUGGACGAACAAACCGUCCCAAGAAGUUGCGCCUUGUAGCAGAAGUGGCGGAGUAAGCUCCAUCAAGAGUGUGCUUCCAAGUAAUUGUGUCCUCCGAUAUAGGAAUGACUCACAAUCGAGCCCACAAGGUGACGAUCUGCCGAAUGUGCUCCAUGGUCCAAUGGUCGGGAAGCUUAAUUGACGAUAGCCAUUUGUCCUCAUGCAUGGCCUCCCUAACAGUCCAAUUCUUGCGUUUGGACGCCUCGAAGAUGAGAGGGGCGAUGUUGGCGGGCUUAUCCCCAUCAACCCAAGGGGAAUCCCAGAAAGGAGCGCGCGCCCCGUUGCCUAUGGUGAUGUACGAAGAUGCAUAGAAGAUAUCUCGGUCCAGAAUAUCACAAGGGUUGGCCAUGCCCACCCACAUCUUGGAGGGCUCCGCCCAUUCAAACCACAACCAUCUCAAUCUGAGAGCUCUCGCGAAUUUGGUAAGAUCAAGGAUCCCCAAACCUCCCAACUCAGUCGGUCUGCAAACCAAAUUCCAGCUGACCUUGCAUUUCGCCCCUGUUACCUUGUUUGUGCCAGCCCAUAAAAACGCCCUCUCAAUCUUGGUAAUAUUACGCAGUGUACUCACCGGCGGUUUGAGAGCGAUGAUGUGGUAGAUCACCUGGGAGGUGAGGACAGAUUUGACAAGAGCUCCACGCCCAAUGGAGGUAAUAUUUUGCCCAUCCCACGGCACCAGCCUGGCAGCCACCUUGUCUUCAAGGAAUUGAAAGUCCGCCGCCUUCAGGUGGCGGAUUGACAGUGGCAGCCCCAAAUACUUGAUGGGGAAGGAGGUCCGAGCAGCGGGAAGCGCGGAGAGGGUCUCAUCCAAGUUUACGUUCCCGCACCGGAUAGGAACAACUAAGCUCUUUUGGAAGUUUGUACAUAAACCUGUAACCUUCCCAAAGUGAUUCAGGAUGAGGGCGAAGUUAUCAAUGUCCUGCUUGACCGGGGCCAUGAAGACGGCCGCAUCAUCAGCAUAAAGGGAGGUGCGGAAAAUUGCACGACGCCCCUUAAACUUGUGCAACAACCCGCACCUGGUGGCAAUGUCGAGGAUUUGCUGUAGGGGGUCAAUGGCGAGGACGAACAACAGCGGAGAGAUUGGGUCUCCUUGGCGAAAACCACGGCCAUGCAUAAUGAGGGGGCCGGGCACGCCAUUAAGCAGGAUCCGCGAGGAUGAAGACCGGAGCAGUGCGGUGAUCCAUUCCCGAAACCGUGGUGGGAACCCCCUCCGUUGGAGGAGAUCAAUGAUGUACUCCCAUCGCACGGAGUCAAAAGCUUUGCGGAUGUCAAGCUUGAAGAGAAGCGCGGGGGUCUUGCUUUUGUGGAGCCGACGAGCAAGGCCCCGAACAUACAUGAAGUUGUCGUGAAUGUAUCUCUUUUUGAUGAAGGCACUUUGCGCGCUGGAGAUGAGGGCAUGCAUGUGAGGGCUAAGUCUGGCAGCGAGGACCUUAGCAAUAAUUUUUGCAAUGGCAUGAAUGAGGCUUAUCGGUCUGUAAUCAGAUAUCUCCUCCGCGCCCUCUUUUUUGGGUAGGAGCGCAACGUUCGCUGAGUUUAGCCACUGCAAAUUGGCCGAAUGCAGAUUGUUGAAACAGAGAAUGGCUUGCAUGAUAUCGUGCUUUAUGAUAGGCCAACAUUUUUUGAAGAAGGAGCCAGUGAACCCAUCCGGGCCGGGGGCUUUGUCCCCCGGUAACUGAUUGAUGGCCUCUCGAACUUCAUCCUCCGAAAUUGGAUCAUCAAGAUCGGAGAGGUCGUGAUCAUGAAACGCGAGCUCCUCCCAGUUAAAGUCCACAGGAUGAGAGCUCUCCUUCCCCAUCACCCUGGUGAAAUGGUCGUGCAUCAAACUUUCCUUCUGCUCAUGCCCAGUGAUCCAUCCAUUGUUAUGUCUGAUCCUAUGAAUAUGAUUCUUGCGACGACGCGCGUUGAUCCACCGGUGAAAAAUAUUUGGUGUUGGCAUCACCCUCCUUAAGAUUAGAAACUCUGGCACAUUGCUUCCUCCGUGCACGCUCCAGGACCGCCAAGCCCACCACUCUUUGCUUAAGCCUGGACCGGAGGUCCUGCUCGGCGGCAGACAGGACGCGGUUCUCUUGAGCGAUGUCAAGGCGCAAGAUCACUAACAGGGCAGCAUGCAAGAGAAGCUUAGCACGAGGGAAAAGCUUUCGGCUCCAUUCAGCCAACCGCACUCCGGUUUUCUUGAGCUUAUGGAAUAGCCGUCGGUAAGGCUCAGCGUGGUUGCAAUCCUCAUGCCAUGCGUUACUGACAACAUUCAUGAAGCCCGGCAUGGAGACCCAAAAAUUCUCAAAUUUGAAGGAGCGGGGCCGCCGAGGGCCACUGUCAUCCGCAAGGAGGAGAGGACAAUGAUCGGAUAGCGACGAGGAGAGCGCACGAAGGACGUGAGAACUGAAACUGAGGUCCCAGUCUGUAUUGCAGAAAAAGGAGUCAAGCUUGCAAAGGGUAGGGUUGGCACGUUCGUUGCUCCAAGUGAACCUUCUGUUCUGGAGGUGUAUCUCGUUGAGCUCACACUCAUGGAGAGUGUUGCGAAAUCGGUUGAUACAGCUACGGUUGAUGUUUCGCUUGUUCUUGUCCCGAGCCCUGUAUAUUUGGUUAAAGUCGCCUAGAACCAGCCACUUCGUACCCGACGACGGCUUUUGAGCAAGAAGUUCGGAGAAAAAAAUCAUUCUUCAGAGAGGAGGCCGUGGGGCCAUAAACGGCCGUGAGCUUGAAGGAAAUGUUGGUGGCACGGACUAAGACAGUAGCGGAAAGUCAAAAGGUAAACAUCUCAGACCUGCACAGCCUCGUCAUCCCAAAGAAGCAAAAUGCCUCCUCUAGUUCCCACAGCCGGCCGCUGGGCAAAACUCUUGAGCCUAGCUCCCCCAAGAAAGGCAGCGGUAAACUGAUCCAUGGCAGCAAGUUUGGUCUCCUGGAGACAAGCCAAAUGACACGAAGUGGCAGCAAUAGUUUCAUGAACGGUAGCACGACGAUCCGGGCAGUUAAGGCCCCUUACAUUCCAGCAAAUAAAAUUAACAGGUUGUCCUAACAUUGGAAACCAAAAGACCCAAAGAACACAAAGCAUCAGGAGGCAAGGCUCAAGCCACAGCCUCCUCAUCGUGGUCCAGCGCAGCAGCACCUCCAUGACUGAUGAGAGCCUCUUCCACGCUAGCAGCAUGAGCAUCAUCAAUCUUGAAGAGGCCUCGUAGCGCAUGCAUGAUAUUUUCUGGCAGCUGGUCUUUGAAUUGCAGCUCGAACUGAUCCAGAGCCCUGGCAGUUACGUCUUCUCCGUCGCGGAUGAUGCCGAUCGAGCGACAAACCAGCCCCUGCGCCUCCUUUGCCAUAGACGUGGCAAACCCCACUUUCUUCUUAGCUUGCACCCUAGCGCUGAUGCGGCACAGGGAGAGACCACCCUCGGAGGAGAUGGUCAUCCCUGCAAGAGUUUUGCGCCGCCUGGAAGGAGCUUUGACCGGAGAGGAAGUAGGAGACGGGAGCAGUGCCGGCGCCCAGGGCACAAACAGAGGCUCCAGGCCAGCAGGAAUGACGCCCUCCCUGGCAACAGCCAGCGGCGUCCUUGGUGUUGCUGCAGAGAUGACAGAAGGCGUUGGUGAGUUCCCAAACCCAGGGGGUGCGAAGGAGACGGCGACGACAGCGACAAACAAGCCGGAGAACACAGGCUCGCCACCACAGGGCUGGCUGGCGCAACCCUGGCCACCAUCGCAGCCAUAGCAUCAGCAGAGCGGUCGUCAGCACGCCUGGAGCUCAUUGGAGCAGGAAGAACCGAGGUGGGCGUCAGGGGAGGGGACGCCGGCGGCGUCAGGUUGUCGCUGGCGUGGCUCCGCACCGAGCGUGGCGACAGAUGCCGAGAGGCAGCGCGGCCACGGCCAGCCUCCGCGGUCUGCGCCAACGCCACAUCAGCGACAGUGGCGCCUCCCAGCCCAGCGGUCUGCACCAGCGCCGCCACGCACUCAGCAGCGGCAGGGGCUCCUUCCUGCCUGCGACGCCCAUCGCGGCCGUCAUGGCGAUCCCCGCGGCGGUCGUCGCGCCGCCUCUGGUCGUCACGACGCUGGUCUUCAUGCCGACCAUCCCCAUCCCUCCUGUCUCCAGCAGCGCGGGAGCGACUCCGAAAGAUUCUGCCCGCCCAGGAGCCACGGUCGUCCUGACGACCACGCUGGUCGUCAUCAUCUCUGCGCCCAUUGCGGUCUUCAUGAUCGUCAUCGCGGCGUUGGCAUGUGCCACGGGAGGCGGGGGAGCUGUGGCUCUCCCGCGGCUGGCGCUCCCCGUCGAUGAUGCCCUUGUCCCAGUCGUAGCCCUGCCGCCUUGCACUUUGAGGAACGUUGCCAGCCGCAUCAGGACUGAAGUCUUCCUUAUAUAUACCAAUAUAAUACUACUCCAUACAAGUCCGUAGUUUCUACAGUACAAUAAUUCCUGGCUACAUAUUCAGGUCUUGAAGAAACUGAUGGCAGGAGGUUGAUGAGCCCACCUCUCCUUUUGCUACAAUAAUUCAAGGAGGUUGAUGAGUCCAUCUAGGUGGUGCUUCCUGGUGAUGUUGAGAUGCACCAUUUAUCUCGUGCGUCUUUUAAGCCAUAAAUGGUUGUUAAGCACAAGACCACUUUUAUCCCGAGCCAAGAGCUACUCUACACGGACGCUGCUCCUCCCUUUUUAUCCCGUGCAAUGGAAGCCAAGGGAACACGAAUAGUGCGCUAAAAGUGUGACGCGGAAAACCAAACACGUUUCGAUCCAUGGAAUCUCAUUUUACACAUUUUCCGCCAAGACGUCAAAUUAUGUGGUGCUCCAGCACCAAACACGCAAAAGGAUGAAUUUGUGGAGUAAAUCCCAAGGAUAAAAACCACCUGUCUCUUCGGCAGGUGAAGGGAAGGGAAGGAGUGCCCCUUCAACCAAGGAACGAGCCUCCGGUGCAGUGGAACUCACUAUCUACAGCUCGAUCCACCAGAUUUUUCCAAGUUCAAACCUCGUGCAAAUUUUACUUGGCAUCUCCGUAUCUCCAAAUGCACUGUUGCAGAAUGGGCUGGGUCGCCGGGCAUCAGUGUUUGUUUGUAAGAGCAUCUUCAGCCGUUGGCCCCCCAUGGGACGCCUAAAAUCGCCGCCCGGUGAUGAGCCGGCGCAAGUCUGGGGGCGAGUUGGUCCCUAGCCGCCGGCCCCAGGGCCGCCUCCAGGCGCGUUCAAAAAAUAAAAGUAUAUAGCAAAGUUCGGCUAAACACGACAAAUUUCGGCCAACUUGAGCAUAUAUUUCGACAAAGUUCGCGGAUUUUCAUUACAUAGCAAAUAUAUAAACUAAUUAAAAAAGAAACUGGCUGAACCCCAAGUAGUCACCGUCGUCGCCGCCAUCCUCACCGCCGGCCUUCUCCUCCUUGACGCGGGCGCCCCUUCUGGACCCGGCGUCGCCAUGGCGGACUGGUGGCGGCGGCGGCGCAUCGUCGUCGUCGCUGUCGUCGAUGACGACGACUCCUCCUUCGUCGCGGCCCCGGCGGCGCUCCGCGAAGCGCCGCAGGGCGGCGCACUGGCGCUCCCUCGCCAUCUUCAGGGAGUCCUGGCGUGCCCAUUCAAGGGCCGCAUCGUCGUCGAGCUCGACCUCGCCGUGCUCCGUCUUCACGGCGGGGAGACCCGGCUCCGCCUUCACCGGCGCGAGCCCCGGCUUCGUCUUUGGCUUGACAAAGCGCGGAGGAGGAGCCGACGAGGAGGCGCGCCGGCCGCCCUCGUUGAUGACGAUGCCGGCGCUGCGAGUGCGCCGGCCGAGCGGCAUCUCCGCCGCGGGCUCGGCCUUGACGCCGAGCAGCGCCGAAGUGCCGGAGGAGUGCGAGGAAGAACGCGAGGAGGAGCCGAACCUUCUUGGCGCCCAUGGCCCGUCGCGUCGGCGGUGCGCCGGGGCGGCCGCCCUCGCCGGGGGGUACUCCAACGGCGGGUUGUUGCCGCCCUCAAGGUGCGUCAGCACUUCCUCGAGUGUGCGGCCGGGGACGCCCCACCACAGGUGGCGCCCCUCACUGUUCUUCAGGCCGCCGACCACCGGCGCGCCGUUGGUGGACGCCAGCCGCUGUUGCUGGCGACGCUCGAAGUAUGCCGCCCAAGCCGCGUGGUUGUCGGCGGCGUACUGGGGGAGGGCGAGCUGGGCGUUGGUGAGGGAGGCGCGCACGACCUCGACCUCGUCAGCGAAGUAGGAGGGUUUCGCCACGGCGUCGGGCAACGGGGGAAUGGGCACUCCCCCCUUGCUGAGCCUCCACCCCGUCGGCCCGGCGUGCAUGUCAGGCGGCGCCGGGAUGUUCGCCUGGAACAGGAGCCACGACUCCUGUUCAUGGAGCGUGCGGCGGCCGAAGCCGUUGGCCGCCGCCUCGUCUCCGGGGAAACGCUCGGCCAUCGGGAGAAGAAGGGGAGGGAGAGGGAGGGGCUGGGCGGCGGCUCACGGGGGAGGGAGAGGAAGAGGGAGAGGGAGGGCUCGGCGGCAGCGCUCGGGAGAGGUAGAGCUCGGCGGCGAGGGCGGGGCUGGUGUGGCCACACGCGGGCGAGGCCACCGGCUUAUAUAGCCGCACCGCGCCCGUGUGUACGCGUGCGAGGGAGGGGAGGCGUCGGCGCGCCGUCCCGUGACGCGCCGCCCGUGAGGAAUCAAUGGCAAGGCUGACCGGCGGCAGCCUUGCCAUUGAUUCCCCGCGGGAAACCGAGGUGUUGGGGGAAGACGAGGCGCGGUGUCGCUGACGCGGCUGGCCCGCGGCUUUUUCGCGCCAAAACCGCUUGCCCCGGCGCCCCCAGGCCCCCCAGCGCGCCGGGUUCGGCCUGGGUCCGCCGGCGUUGAUUUCGGCGCAGGCCGGCGAAAAUCGGACUCCUGGGGCGCGACUGGGCCGUUUUUUCGGCGCCGGCACGAAAAAAUCGCCUUGGGAGGCCUCCCUGGCGGCGCGGCUGGAGAUGCUCUAACUAGCCGAUCGAUUAUAGAGGUUUCGAAGCAUAUGCCGGUAUAAUUCUCCGGUACGAUUUUGAUCAGAGUCAUUGGAGCCACAAGCUCCUCAAAGCGAUGCAUUAUCACCUCCUACAGUCUGCCCUCCGUUUCUAAAUAUUUGUCUUUCUAGAGAUUUCAACAAGUGACUAUAUAAAAAGCAAAAUGAGUGAAUCUACACUAAAAUAUGUCUAUAUACAUCCGUGUGUGAUAGUCUAUUCAAAAUCUCUAAAAAGACAAAUAUUUAUAAACAGAGGGAGUAGUACAGUAGGUUUUAGCAGGGUCACCGACGAAUCAGCUCCCAAUCCCAAUUAGAAGGGCAACCCAGCGGCAGCGCGCCGCGUGUCCCGGCUCCGCUCCGCUCAAAAACAGAUCGACAUGGUGACUUGCAAGGCAUCAUCUCCACCACAACAUGGCAUGGCCUGAGAUGUCAGCCUCGCAAACCAACUCCCCGAAAAGGAUAAUAAUAAUCAUAUUAUAGUAAACCUACCAGCGAACAAACUAAGGAGAUGGAGAUAAGAUCGGAUCGGGGCGGCGCCAGCGGCAGAAUCCGCCAAAGCGGAGGCAUGUGGGUGGGAGUGGCCAACAAACUUCAAUACUACUCCGUUUUUAUUUCUGAAAAAGAAAUGAUAAGCCGUGCUCAUGGGGUCCAAGUCAUCGGUGUCCAAGCGAACCUAACUUGCGCAAUGUAAACACGCCGGAAACGAACGGUGAUGUCACUAACGCGAAAUGCGUUCGGUUUUCGGAGUAUUAGUCAAAGCGCACUAGUAGGACGCCCCGCGUUAUCUUAUCCCCGUCGCCCCCUCUAUAUAUACCCGCCCUCCUGCCAGAUUGUAAAGGUCGUGAAACAUAGCGAGCAACAGCAAGAACAAGCGCAGGAAUAUAUCCAUCCAUAUACAGCAGCGAGCAUACCUUCCUUGCCUUUCUCCGUGAGGUCCAUUGCAAUCCAGAAACCUUCAAGUAUGGGCAGAUCUGCAAUUUCUCAGGCCCUUCCGGUGCACCAGGAAGACGAGGACCUGUUCGAGACCUCCUCCUCCUUCUCCUGCGACUCCGACGACGAGGCCCAGUUCUCCGACGGCGAGGACCAGUUUGUGCCGGCUUCCCCGCCGGUGCGGAGACUGAAUUCUGACAGCGUCUACGAUCUGUCGUCCAUGAAAGCAGAGCUCUCUGUCAAGUAAGUCUCCGAGGAACUUGAUGCCUUCCUUCAUAAGUUCAUCACACCGUCACAUAUAUGUGCAGCAGCAAAAGGGGAGUUUUUCCUGACCGUGCGGUUCUUCUCUUUGCAGGAAAGGAGGGUUGUCCAAGUACUACGACGGAAAGUCCCAGUCGUUCGCGUGCAUGUCCGAGGUGAGGUGCCUGGAGGACCUGCCCAAGAAGAGCCCCUACAAGAAGAUCAAGUCGUGCAGGAGCAACAUCGAUCUGGACGGGAACCAGAAAGCCUGCCCCGUACCUGGUUCUCACAACAGCAAAGGAAUGGCCAAGCCCUCUGGAAGCUCUUGCGCGAAUCUGAUGGCCCGGAAUAACAGCGCAAACAUGCUCUACAGGCCUCCCGCGAUCCCUGUCAACAAGAGCGCGUGCCAUCAGUAGGGCUCGCGGCUGGAAAUGUCUGUCCACGGCUGGCCUCGCGCCUCUUCUUUGUUCCUUGAUGAGGAUUUUUCUUGGCGGGCGUAUUAGCCUGUCAAAUGUAAAGAGGCUUUUGAUUCUCUCAUGUUCAGGAAGAUAUUGAUUGAUUCGGUGUGUAAAUAGAGAGACCGGUUGUAUACCAAACAUUUUUUUUACUGCAGUGCCUGAUUAGCAAAAUUCUCUGAGAUCCGAAUUCUGAGAUCUUAUAACUAUCCUGGUUAUUCUGCUUUUGAAGAAAAAUGGGACAAAGGCAUAAGCCGUGCUCAUCCGGUCCAAGUCAUCGGUGUCCAAGCAAACCUAACUUGUGCAAUGUGGAGAUGUCCCAAUUGGAGUUGCAGAAAAGAGUCUAGUUUGCACAAGGUUAGGUCUUGACGCUCGUUACUCCAAGUGAACCGCCGAUUCUGCGAGUGAAUUUCCUUGACAAGGCGUCAUGGAAUAAGUUGAUGAUCCUUCUCCUAUCGAAGCUUGACUUAUUCUUGUCUCUCGCCCGGUAUAUCUGAUUGAAAUCACCGCAUACAAACCAACCCUCGCCGGGCUGCGGUAUAUUGGACCCCAAACGCCCUAAAAGCUUCCAGUUUGAGAAUUUAUGGAUUUAUAUACGUGGGUUCCAACAAUUGUCCGUGAGGCUUGGGAUGCCCCGUCUGAUGUCCUGUUCCAUAAGCUACACAAAACUGCCUUCAUGCAUGCUUAAGUGUUGGAGUAAGAGGUUGUUCUCGUCGGCAAAGAUCCGGCUUCACGUGGCGCUGCAGGUCAUCCUUUAUCUCGACACCGCUCAGGAUAAUCGGCCUCUCUCGCCCGAGGAGGCCGAUGUGCGAGCUAGACUCAAGAGGCGUGUUAUCGGCCUGGCCAUCAUAGUCCGAACUAGGAAAAAGCAAUGUGCCCGGGUUGAAAACCUCAAGGAAGGGGAUGCCAUUCACCUAAGAGUGAAUGCGGGAAGAAGGAAAAAAUUGCGAGAAGAAGGAAAACAAUUAUCCACCGACUGAAGGUUGGGUCACCUCACACGACGAAAAGAAAAAGGAGGCAGAUGAUCAUUUCAAGAAAAAUUUCCACAAAGCGUAGAGGCGGACUAAGGACUUCAACUGGGAGGCCCUUCACUUUGAGAACGGAUAUUUAUCCAGCCUUGGCGACAAUAUCAGCAAAGCCGAGGUGCUUGCCGCCAUUACCCAACUGCCCGGGGACAAGGCCCCUGGCCCCGACGGUUUCACCGGAUCCUUCUUCAAAUCUUGUUGGGAAAUCAUAAAAGGGGACAUGAUGAAUGCGAUCAAUUCCUUCUCAAACUUACAAGCGACAAACUUACGUUGGCUCAACGCGGCGAAUACAGUGUUACUAACCAAGAAGGAUGGCGUGGAAGAUAUUACAGACUUUGAUCCAAUCAGCUUGAUCCACUCUUUCGCAAAAAUCAUCACGAAGAUCAUGGUUAAUAGACUAGCUUCAUUCAUGAAUAAACUCGUUUCCAGAGCCCAGAGCGCUUUUAUCAAGACUAGAAGCAUACACGACAACUUUAUGUUUGUCACAGGCUUCAUCGGGCGCUUGCAUUGAUAUAGAACGCUGGCUCUUCUCCUCAAGCUAGAUAUCAAAAAGGCUUUCGACUCGAUUCGUUGGGACUACAUGCUCGACUUGCUGCAGCGUCGCGGCUUCCCUGCUAAAUUCCGAAACUGGAUUACCGCUUUGUGGGCCUCGUCCUCUUCAAGGGUGCUUCUCAAUGGCGUGCCAGGGGAUCCGAUUAAACUUGGGUAGGGGUUGCGGCAGGGCGAUCCGCCAUCCCCCCUACUCUUUGUCAUCGCCAUUGAUCCCCUACAAUAACUCGUAAUCAGAGGCACGGAUCAUGGCCUCCUCCACCGUCUAAGGGAUUGUACAACCACUAUCCACACUUCUUUGUAUGCUCGCGAAGCCGCGGUUUUUGUCGCUCCAAUCAAGGAGGAUAUUGACCACCUAUCGGUCAUUUUGACUGCUUUGGAGAAGUGACGGGCUUGAUGGCCAAUCUGUUAAACAUCAUGUCGCCCCAUUCGUUGUCGCGACCUUGACCUCGACGCAAUCCUGGAGAACUUUCCGGCAAAAUGAGUCGGCUUCCCAAUGCGGUACCUAGAGCUACCGUUAUCCACUCAUUGUCCCAAGAAGUCAGUCUAUCAAUUCCUGGUGGAUAAGGUGGAGGCCAAGCUUCCGCCAUGGCAAGGAAAAAAUAUCAAAACGGCCGGUCAUACCUCUCUCGUCAAAUCAGUGUUGACAUCCGUGGUUAUCUAUCACAUUUCAACACUAGAUAUACCUCGGACACCAAUGAAAGCAUCACCAAGAUUCAACGUGCCUUCCUAUGGGCUGGAACCGAGCAGGUCUCAAGCGGGAAAUAAAGUGAACUGGAAGACGGUAUGUCGACCUACCAACCUUGGCGGUCUCAGCAUUCUGGACCUCGACAAGUUUGCUAGAGCUCUCGGACUUCAAUGGUUGUGGUUUGCCUAGGUGGACCCAGAGAGAGCUUGGGUCGGUUUAGAAACCCCUUGUAACGAUGAAGACAAGGAGAUUUUCUAUGCGACAACAACUAUCACCAUUGGCGUUGGAUUGACGGCUAGCUUCUGGCACUCGCCAUGCUAAAUGGACAAAAGCCUAAGGACAUCGCACCGGGCAUCUUCGCCCUCUCCAAACGCACCGCUUAUUGCAUUGCCAAGGCUUUAAAUAACAAUGAGUGGGUCUGACACAUCAACAUGCAGGGCGGCCUUUCGAUGACCCUAGUCCAGCGAUUCUAUUCUCUUUGGUGCAAGUCGCGGGAGGUUCAGCUCGUCCCGGGCGAGCGAGACGGGAUUCGAUGGAAAUUCACAGUGGAUGCCUGCUACUCCGCAGCCACGGCUUACAGAAUGCAGUUUGCCGGAUUGAUCAAGUCGGAAAUGCCUAAGAUGGUCCGGAAAAUUUGUCCCCUCCGAAGAUUAAAUUCUUCUCCUGGCUGAGAGCGCAGGUAGAGUCUGGACGGCGGACAGACUGCUUCAUGGGGGUUGGCCAAACUAUUGCCUUUGUCAGCUAUGCAAGAGGGUACCGGAAACUGCGGCCCACAUAAUAUUCAAAUGUCAAUUCACGAUAAGGGUGUGAAACUCCAUCUACAAUUGGCUCGGUUGGCAAUCGGUCACACCUACAUGGAGCGACAUUCACACAAUCAAAAAAUGGUGGAAUGCGAGCGAGGGAGAGCCGGGAUACUCAAGGAAGGCGGUACACUCAUUGCAAAUGCUUUAUGCUGGGAGAUGGAAUGAAAGGAAUGCUCGAGUUUUCCAUAACAAGGCAUCGUUACCCACUCGCGUAGUGGCAUCUGGCAUGGGCUAGAUUUCUGGGCAACAUUCACCAGGAGAGUGCUUCGCUGUUGGACCUGUCCUGUAAUCGUUAAAAAACAUUGUUCUUCUUCUUAUUAUUAUUUAAUGGGAUGAGCCAAAAAAAUUGCCUCCGUUUAAAACAAAACUUGUGCAAUGUAAACACACCGGAACCAACGGUGCUGUCACUGACCUUUACAAAUUGCGUUCGGUUUCCGAGUAUUAGUCAAAGCGCACUAGGACUACGCCCAGCGUUAUCCCCAUCGUCGCAGCUGGGGCUCUAUAAAUACCCACCCUCCUGCCAGAUUGUAAAAGGUCGUGAAACAGAGCAAGCAAGAACAAGAGCAAGAAUAUAUCCAUCCAUACAGCAGCUCAGCCAGCAUAGCUUCCUUUCCUUUCUCCCUGAGGUCCUUCCGUUGCGUUCCAGAAACCAGAAACUUGCAAGCAUGGGCAGAUCUGCUGGAGCUCCUCAGGUCCUCCCGGCGCACCAGAAAGACGAGGACCUGUUCGAGACCUCCUCCUUCUCCUGCGACUCCGACGACGAGGCCCGGUUUUCAGACGGCGAGGACCAGUUUGUGCCGGCUUCCACGCCGCGGAGACUGAAUCCCG